ACCUUUGACUUUGGAUCUCGCCGUCUUCGUCCAAGAUGUAAAAAGAGGAUGGCCUGGGCAGCGACUGUGGUGCGUCGGGAAAGGGCGGAUGGUGCAGUGCGUCAGUGCCUUAGAAUACCACAAUCUCACCUAAGAGGAAACACAUAGAUGAUGGAUUUACGAGGGCAAACAUAUCUAGAGAGUGGAAGUGGCGGCGGUGGAUGGAGGAGAAGAUAGUUAGAUCUGGACAAUGUUCAUGGUUGCCGGUGGAGGAGAAGAUAGUUAGGUCUAAGGAGUGGUGGCGGCGGCGACGGAUGGAGGAGAAUAUGGUUAGAUCUAGACAAUAUUGAUGGUUGCAGGUGGAGGAGAAGAUAGGUGGGUCUAGAUAAUGUUGAUGGUUGUGUCGUGUGGGAGGGGAUGGCUUUAUAGUCGCGCGGUUUGGGACUAGGGGUGCGACCACGAUCCGCGUGAUGUGGGGUGCGGGCCGUCAGAUUGGAGAUGGGUGGCGGAGAAUGGGGUAAAGGAGGUGGCGCGGAUAGGUGACGUGGCGGGGUAGGCGUGUUUCUUUUCUAAGGGUGAGGUAGGGUGCGGGGAUGCGAGGAAGGCGCGUGCGUCUCGGGUAGGUGGAUGCCAGUUGGGACCGGGCGUUUUUUGGACGGAUUGCUUUUGGGCACGGCGUUGCUCGCUAUCGCAAGUUUUGGAUGGGUAUCUGGUCGAUGGGCCCAUGAGGUGUGUGGUCGUGACGAGACUAGUGCGAAGGCGUAAACUCAGAUUAUUGCUAGGACAAUUUGGAAAGCGUAUUUCUAUGUUUUCCACGGUCAAUUGAUACGAGGGGUGCUUCUUUCAGGUAUUGUAUAACACGCCUCAACAAAAAAAAAGUACUCCCUUUGUUCAACUAUUAUCUAGUUGUAGCUCAGCAGCGGCUGUCACGCCACAUAACACCUCGACUUGCCCCCCAGGGUCUCGGGGAGUUAGCGACAUAGCCGCCGACGUUUGAUGGCAAUGACGCCCCUCCUCUCCUUGUUGUGUUGUGUUUCGUGGUCACUACCACACUCUAGCUUUUUCUUUCUGAUCAACGUGGCGCUCAGUGGUGGCAGAGAGGAGGGAGGAGGUGGCAAGAGCGAGGAAGGAACUGGGGUUUUGGGGCAAGAUGGAAAUGACUUUGUCUGUUUGCCAUUUCCGGAGAUAGACGAGACUAGGGGCUUUAAUAGUUGGAGGGACAUCUACAGGUAGGUGGGUGGGUGGAACAAUUUUCUUUGGGAGAAAUAGCCUUUCUAUCGGCAUUCUGGGAACAAGGGUACCCAGACUUGCCUGCCUGCGGCCCAUGGCGUGGCUCCAUCGACGGCCUGGUACGGCCCAUCCACAACACCUUCAAGACAAGACCCUCGCAAGGGGCCAAGCCUCGCGAGGCGGGCAACAUCAAGACCUCCGGGGGGAGCGGCCUGAAGGAAAUAUGCCCUUGAGGCAAUAAUAAAGUUGUUAUUUUAUAUUUCCUUAUAUCAUGAUAAAUAUUUAUUAUUCAUGCUGGAAUUGUAUUAACCGGAAACUUGAUAGAUGUGUGGAUACAUAAACAAAACACCGUGUCCCUAGUAAGCCUCUACUAGACUAACUUGUUAAUCAAAAAUGGUUAAGUUUCCUAACCAUAGACAUAUGUUGACAUUUGAUGAAUGGGAUCACAUCAUUAGGAGAAUGAUGUGAUGGACAAGACCCAUCCGUUAGCUUAGCAUAAUGAUCGUUCAGUUUUAUUGCUAUAGCUUUCUUCAUGUCAUAUACAUAUAUUCCUUUGACUAUGAGAUUAUGCAACUCCCGGAUACCGGAGGAAUGCCUUGUGUGCUAUCAAACGUUACAACGUAACUGUAUGAUUAUAAAGAUGCUCUACAGGUAUCUUUGAAGGUGUUUGUUGGGUUGGCAUAGAUCGAGAUUAGGAUUUGUCACUCCGAGUACCGGAGAGGUAUCUCUGGGCCCUCUCGGUAAUGCACAUUGAUACAUCUCCAACGUAUCUAUAAUUUGUUAUUGUUCCAUGCUAUAUUAUAUUCUGUUUUGGAUGUUUAAUGAGCUUUAUUAUACACUUUUAUAUUAUUUUUGGGACUAACCUAUUAACCGGAGGCCCAACCCAAAUUGCUGUUUUUUGCCUAUUUCAGUGUUUCGCAGAAAAAGAAUAUCAAACGGAGUCCAAACGGAAUGAAACCUUCGGGAACGUGAUUUUCGGAACAAACGUGAUCCAGAGGACUUGGAGUCCACAUAAAGAAAUCAACGAGGAGAGAACGAGGCAGGGGGCACGCCUACCCCCCCAGGCGUGCCCUCCACCCUCGUGGGGCCCACAUUGCUCCACCGACGUACUUCGUCCUCCUAUAUAUACCUACGUACCCCCAAACCAUCAGGGGCAUCCACGAAAACCUAAUUCCACUGCCGCAACCUUCUGUACCCGUGAGAUCCCAUCUUGGGGCCUUUUCCGGCGCUCCGCAGUAGGGGGCAUUGAUCACGGAGGGCUUCUACAUUGUGACGCCCGGAUAUUUAAGCGACAGUAAUUCCCUGUUAGUCAUGCCGUGUCACCUUAGUUACUGUUGCUAAUCUCGCGUUAGUUCAAAACCAAUUCAAAAUCAAGUCAAACAUUUAAAGUUUUCAAAAGUCAAAACUAAAAUGUUGUAAAGGUGUUAAAUAAAUCAUGGGUAAUAAUGGUGGAGAAACCUAAAUUUAAUAAAAUGUUUAAGUGUUCAAAAUAAUUAAAAUAGAGGUUUAAAUAUUAAAAUAAAUGCCUUUUGAAUUUUAUAAAAUAUUAAACUAUUUUAAUUUGGGUUGUGAAUUAAUGUGGCAAUAGUAUAUUUUAAAGUAUUAAUUUAAGUGCUAGUGAUAAUUUUUAUAAAACUAAAAUAAAAGAAAACUAAAAGUAAAACGGUAAAAGAAAAAUAAAUAAAAAGAAAAGAAACAAAACAGAAAAAUAACUAACAAAAAAAAAGAAAAGAACCCUCAGGCUCCGGCCCAGCAGGCCUGCAGCCCAACCGGGCCACCAGGCCGGCCACUCCCCAUAUCCCCCUCUCACCCGAAACCCUAACCCCCCACGCACACCACUCCCCCACUCGCGCCCCCACUCUCCCCCUNNNNNNNNNNNNNNNNNNNNNNNNNNNNNNNNNNNNNNNNNNNNNNNNNNNNNNNNNNNNNNNNNNNNNNNNNNNNNNNNNNNNNNNNNNNNNNNNNNNNNNNNNNNNNNNNNNNNNNNNNNNNNNNNNNNNNNNNNNNNNNNNNNNNNNNNNNNNNNNNNNNNNNNNNNNNNNNNNNNNNNNNNNNNNNNNNNNNNNNNNNNNNNNNNNNNNNNNNNNNNNNNNNNNNNNNNNNNNNNNNNNNNNNNNNNNNNNNNNNNNNNNNNNNNNNNNNNNNNNNNNNNNNNNNNNNNNNNNNNNNNNNNNNNNNNNNNNNNNNNNNNNNNNNNNNNNNNNNNNNNNNNNNNNNNNNNNNNNNNNNNNNNNNNNNNNNNNNNNNNNNNNNNNNNNNNNNNNNNNNNNNNNNNNNNNNNNNNNNNNNNNNNNNNNNNNNNNNNNNNNNNNNNNNNNNNNNNNNNNNNNNNNNNNNNNNNNNNNNNNNNNNNNNNNNNNNNNNNNNNNNNNNNNNNNNNNNNNNNNNNNNNNNNNNNNNNNNNNNNNNNNNNNNNNNNNNNNNNNNNNNNNNNNNNNNNNNNNNNNNNNNNNNNNNNNNNNNNNNNNNNNNNNNNNNNNNNNNNNNNNNNNNNNNNNNNNNNNNNNNNNNNNNNNNNNNNNNNNNNNNNNNNNNNNNNNNNNNNNNNNNNNNNNNNNNNNNNNNNNNNNNNNNNNNNNNNNNNNNNNNNNNNNNNNNNNNNNNNNNNNNNNNNNNNNNNNNNNNNNNNNNNNNNNNNNNNNNNNNNCGCGCCGCACACGCGCGCCGCGCCCGCGCCCGCCUGUGGCCCCUGGGCCACUGCCAGGUGGGGCCCCGCGCCCCUGAGCCACUGCCCCUGGGCCCGAACCCCCUAUGGGCCACAGACAGGUGGGCCCCGCGCCUAGAACGUAAUUAAAAAAAGGAAAAAGGGGAAUUAAAAAGAAUAAUAAUAUAUAAAUAAAGAAAGAAAGAAAAUAAAAAUAAAAUAAAAUAAAAAUAAUUAAUUAAUUAGUUAAUUAACCCUGUUUAGAUUAAUCUAAUUUAAUUAAUUAGUUAAUUAAUUAGUUAACCCUAAUUACCCUAAUCAGUCUAUGACAUGUGGGACCCACAUGUCAGAUGACUGCUGACGUCAGCAUGAUGUCAUGCUGAUGUCAUCGCAACACUGUUUCGGAUAAUGUAUAUAUUAAAUAAUUAAAUAAAUUCCAGAAAUUAAUAAAUUCUUUUAAAAUCAAUAUAAAAUAAACCGUUGCUCAGAUGAAAAUACUUUGUACAUGAAAGUUGCUCAGAACGACGAGACGAAUCCGGAUACGCAGCCCAUUCGUCCACCACACAUCCCUAGCAUAGCAAACAGGCAACUUUCCCCCUCCGGUUCGUCUGUCCGAAAAUGCGGAACACCGGGGAUACUUUCCCGGAUGUUUCCCCCCUUCGCCGGUAUCACUUACCACUACGUUAGGUCACCCCUAGCACCGCAUAUUGCCGUGUCUUGCUUUGUGUUACAUUUGAUUGCUCUGUUAUUUAUUGUGUUCCCCCUCCGUCACUUCUUUUCGGUAGACUCUGAGACCGGUGCCGAUGUCCGUGAGUUCGACUACACCGAAGAUGACCCCUCCUUCUUGCCAGAGCAACCAGGCAAGCCCCCCCCUUGAUCACCAGAUAUCGCCUAUUCUUCUCUAUACUGCUUGCAUUAGAGUAGUGUAGCAUGUUACUGCUUUCCGUUAAUCCUAUCCUGAUGCAUAGCCUGUCAUUGUUGCUACAGUUGUUACCCUUACCUGCUGUCCUACUGCUUAGUAUAGGAUGCUAGUGUUCCAUCAGUGGCCCUACACUAUUGUCCGUCUGGCAUGCUAUACUACUGGGCCGUGAUCACUUCGGGAGGUGAUCACGGGUAUAUGCUAUAUACUUUAUAUACAUGACACAUUUGGUGACUAAAGUCGGGUCGGCUCGUUGAGUACCCGCAGGUGAUUCUGAUGAGGGGGCUGAAAGGACUGGUGGCUCCAUCCUGGUAGAGGUGGGCCUGGGUUCCUGACGGCCCCCGACUGUUACUUUAUGGCGGAGCGACAGGGCAGGUUGAGACCACUAGGAGAGAGGUGGGCCUGGCCCUGGUCGGCGUUCGAGAUCUUGGUAUUUGAUCUGAGUCUGGCCAUUUGGUCUAUACAGACUAACCAACUAAGCGGGAACAGUUAUGGGCACUCGACGUCGUGGUAUCAGCCGAAGCUCUUCUUGACGUCAGCGACGGAGCGGCGCGCGCCGGAUUGGACUGGAACGCCUGCUAGGCUAGGUCUGCUUCCGGCCGCGUACGCAACGUGCAGGUGUGCAAUGGGCGAUGGGCCCAGACCCCUGCGCGCAUAGGAUUUAGACCGGCGUGCUGACCUCUCUGUUGAGCCUAGGUGGGGCUGCGACGUGUUGAUCUUCCGAGGCCGGGCAUGACCCAGAAAAGUGUGCCCGGCCAAAUGGGAUCGAGCGUGUUGGGUUAUGUGGUGCACCCCUGCAGGGAAGUUUAUCUAUUCGAAUAGUCGUGUCCCUCGGUAAAAGGACGACCCGGAGUUGUACCUUGACCUUAUGACAACUAGAACUGGAUACUUAAUAAAACACACCCUUCCAAGUGCCAGAUACAACCCGGUGAUCGCUCUCUAACAGGGCGACGAGGAGGGGAUCGCCUGGUAGGAUUUAUGCUAUGUGAUGCUACUUGGAGGACUUCAAUCUACUCUCUUCUACAUGCUGCAAGAUGGAGGCUGCCAGAAGCGUAGUCUUCGACAGGAUUAACUAUCCCCCUCUUAUUCUGGCAUUCUGCAGUUCAGUCCACCGAUAUGGCCUUUUACACAUAUACCCAUGCAUAUGUAGUGUAGAUCCUUGCUUGCGAGUACUUUGGAUGAGUACUCACGGUUGCUUUUCUCCCUCUUUUUCCCUCUCUAUACCUGGUUGUCGCAACCAGAUGCUGGAGUCCAGGAGCUAGAGAUCCCGAGGAUGAUUCUACAUGGAGUUCGGCUUCAAGGAGUAGUUAGGAGGUCCCAGGUAGGAGGCCUUGCCUUUUCGAUCGUUGCUACUUUUGUGCUAGCCUUCUUAAGGCAAACUUGUUUAACUUAUGUUUGUACUCAGAUAUUGUUGCUUCCGUUGACUCGUCUAUGAUCGAGCACUUGUAUUCGAGCCCUCGAGGCCCCUGGCUUGUAUUAUGAUGCUUGUAUGACUUAAUUAUGUUGUAGAGUUGUGUUGUGAUAUCUUCCCGUGAGUCCCUGAUCUUGAUCGUACACAUUUGCGUGCAUGAUUAGUGUACGGUCAAAUCGGAGGCGUCACAUACAUCAACACCAUAGCCUCUUCGAUGAUGUGUGAGUAGUUUACCUCAGACCUUCGGGUCCAUAGUUAUUAGAUAGAUGGCUUCUUCUCUCUCUUUGGAUCUCAAUACAAAGUUCUCCUCCUCUUGGAGAUCUAUUCGAUGUAAUCUUCUUUUGUGGUGUGUUUGUCGAGACCGAUGAAUUGUGGGUUUAUGAUCAAGUUUAUCUAUGAACAAUAUUUGAAUCUCCUCUGAAUUCUUUUAUGUAUGAUUGGUUAUCAUUGCAAGUCUCUUCGAAUUAUCAGUUUGGUUUGGCCUACUAGAUUGAUCUUUCUUGCAAUGGGAGAAGUGUUUAGCUUUGGGUUCAAUCUUGCGGUGCUCGAUCCCAGUGAUAGAAAGGGAAACGACACGUAUUGUAUUGUUGCCAUCGAGGAUAACAAGAUGGGGUUUAUAUCAUAUUGCAUGAGUUUAUCCCUCUACAUCAUGUCAUCUUGCUUAAAGCGUUACUCCGUUCUUAUGAACUUAAUACUCUAGAAGCAUGCUGGAUAGCGGUCGAUGUGUGGAGUAAUAGUAGUAGAUGCAGAAUCGUUUCGGUCUACUUGUCGCGGACGUGAUGCCUAUAUACAUGAUCAUGCCUAGAUAUUCUCAUAACUAUGCUCAAUUCUAUCAAUUGCUCGAGAGUAAUUUGUUCACCCACCGUAAUACUGAUGCUCUUGAGAGAAGCCACUAGUGAAACCUAUGGCCCCCGGGUCUAUUUUCCAUCAUAUUAAUCUUCCAACUUAGCUAUUUCUAUUGCCGUUUAUUUUACUUUGCAUCUUUAUCAUAAAAAUACCAAAAAUAUUAUCUUAUCAUAUCUAUCAGAUCUUACUCUCGUAAGUGACCGUGAAGGGAUUGACAACCCCUUUAUUGCGUUGGUUGCGAGGUUCUUAUUUGUUUGUGUAGGUGCGUGGGACUCGAGCGUGGUCUCCUACUGGAUUGAUACCUUGGUUCUCAAAAACUGAGGGAAAUACUUACGCUACUUUACUGCAUCACCCUUUCCUCUUCAAGGGAAAACCAACGCAGUGCUCAAGAGGUAGCAAGAAGGAUUUCUGGCGCCGUUGCCGGGGAGAUUCGCGCCAAGUCAAGUCAAGUCAAGACAUACGAAGUAUCCAUCACAAACUCUUAUCCCUCGCAUUACAUUAUUUGCCAUUUGCCUCUCGUUUUCCUCUCCCCACUUCACCCUUGCCGUUUUUUCGCCCUCUCUUUUCCGUUCGCCUCUUUUUUGCUUGCUUCUUGUUUGCUCGUGUAUUGGAUUGCUUGCUUGUCAUGAUGGCUCAAGAUAAUACUAAAUUGUGUGACUUUACCUAUACCAACAACAAUGAUUUUCUUAGCACUUCGAUUGCUCCUCUUACCGAUGCUGAAUCUUGCGAAAUUAAUGCUGCUUUGUUGAAUCUUGUCAUGAAAGAUCAAUUCGCCGGCCUUCCAAGUGAAGAUGCCGCUACCCAUCUAAAUAGCUUCGUUGAUUUGUGUGAUAUGCAAAAUAAGAAAGAUGUGGAUAAUGAUAUUGUUAAAUUGAAGCUAUUUCCUUUUUCGCUUAGAGAUCGCGCUAAAGUUUGGUUUUCAUCUUUGCCUAAAAAUAGUAUUGAUUCAUGGAAUAAGUGCAAAGAUGCUUUUAUCUCUAAGUAUUUUCCUCCCGCUAAAAUCAUCUCUCUUAGAAACGAUAUCAUGAAUUUUAAGCAACUUGAUCAUGAACAUGUUGCACAAGCUUGGGAGAGGAUGAAAUUAAUGAUACGUGAUUGCCCUACACAUGGUUUGAAACUUUGGAUGAUUAUACAAAAAAUUUAUGCCGGAUUGAAUUUUGCUUCUAGAAAUCUUUUAGAUUUGGCCGUGGGAGGCACUUUUACGGAAAUCACUUUAGGAGAAGCUACUAAACACCUAGAUAAUAUUAUGGUUAAUUAUUCUCAAUGGCACACCGAAAGAUCUACUAAUAAAAAAGUGCAUGCGAUAGAAGAAAUUAAUGUUUUGAGUGGAAAGAUGGAUGUACUUAUGAAAUUAUUUGCUACUAAAAGUGUUUCAUCUGAUCCUAAUGAUAUGACUUUGUCUACUUUGAUUGAGAAUAAUAAUGAAUCUAUGGAUGUGAAUUUGUUGGUAGGAAUAAUUUUGGUAACAACGCGUAUAGAGGAAACUUUAAUCCUAGGUCGUAUCCUAGUAAUUCCUCUAAUAAUUAUGGUAAUUCCUACAACAAUUCUUAUGGAAAUUUUAAUAAGAUGCCGUCUGAAUUUGAGAUUAGUGUUAAGGAUUUUAUGAAUUCACAAAAGAAUUUCAAUGCUUUGCUUGAAGAAAAAUUGCUUAAGGUUGAUGAAUUGGCUAGGAACGUUGAUAGAAUUCCUCUUGAUGUUGAUUCUUUGAAACUUAGAUCUAUUCCACCUAAGCAUGAUAUCAAUGAGUCUCUCAAAUCCAUGAGAAUUUCCAUUGAUGAGUGCAAAGAAAGAACCGCUAGGAUGCGUGCUAAGAAAGAUUGCUUUGUGAAAGCGUGUUCAUCUAGUCUCUAUGAAAAUAAAGAUGAAGAUCUAAAAGUUAUUGAUGUGUCUCCUAUUAAAUCUUUGUUUUGCAAUAUGAAUCUUAAUAAUGAUGGGACUGAAUAUGAGCCACCUUUACCUAGAAGGCGUCCCAAAAAUUCGGAGUCUUUAGAUCUUGAUGCGAAAUUCGGUAAAAGUGGGAUUGAAGAAGUCAAAACUUUAGAUAUCAAUGAACCCACUAUUUUGGAUCUCAAGGAAUUUAAUUAUGAUAAUUGAUCUUUGAUAGAUUGUAUUUCCUUGUUGCAAUCCAUGCUAAAUUCUCCUCAUGCUUGUAGCCAAAAUAAAGCUUUUACUAAACAUAUCGUUGAUGCUUUGAUGCAAUCUUAUGAAGAAAAAAUUGAGUUGGAAGUUUCUAUCCCUAGAAAACUUUAUGAUGAGUGGGAACCUACUAUUAAAAUUAAAAUUAAAUAUCAUGAAUGCUAUCCUUUGUGUGAUUUGGGUGCUAGUGUUUCCACGAUUCUAAAAACUUCAUGUGAUUUGUUAGGUUUCCGCGAAUUUGAUGAUUGUUCUUUAAACUUGCACCUUGCGGAUUCCACCAUUAAGAAACCUAUGGGAAGAAUUAAUGAUGUUCUUAUUGUUGCAAAUAGUAACUAUGUGACCGUAGAUUUCAUUGUUCUUGAUAUAGAUUGCAAUCCUUCAUGUCCUAUUAUUCUUGGUAGAUCUUUCCUUAGAACGAUUGGUGCAAUUAUUGAUAUGAAGGAAGGGAAUAUUAUAUUCCAAUUUCCGUUAAGGAAAGGCAUGGAACACUUCCCUAGAAAGAAGAUUAAAUUACCUUAUGAAUCCAUUAUGAGAGCCACUUAUGGAUUUCCUACCAAAGAUGGCAAUACCUAGAUCUAUCAUUGCUUUUAUGCCUAGCUAGGGGCGUUAAACGAUAGCGCUUGUUGGGAGGCAACCCAAUUUUAUUUUAGUUUUUUGCUUUUUGCUUCUGUUUAGGAAUAAAUAUUUGACCUAGCCUCUGGUUAGAUUUGUUUUUAUGUUUUAAUUAGUGUUUGUGCCAAGUUAAACCUAUAGGAUCUUCUUGGAUGAUAGUUAUUUGAUCUUGCUGAAAAUUCCAGAAACUUUCUGUUCACGAAAACAAUUGUUAAAAAUCACCAGAACGUGAUAAAAUACUGAUUCCAAUUGCAGUAGAUCAAUAAACAAAUUUUAUAGGUCGUCCUAUUUUGGUAGAUUUUUUGAGUUCCAGAAGUUUGCGUUAGUUACAGAUUACUACAGACUGUUCUGUUUUUGAAAGAUUCUGUUUUUCAUGUGUUGUUUGCUUAUUUUGAUGAAUCUAUGGCUAGUAAAAUAGUUUAUAAACCAUAUAGAAGUUGGAAUACAGUAGGUUUAAUACCAAUAUAAAUAAAGAAUGAGUUUGUUACAGUACCUUGAAGUGGUGUUUUGUUUUCUUUCGCUAACGGAGCUCACGAGAUUUUCUGCUAAGUUUUGUGUUGUGAAGUUUUCAAGUUUUGGGUAAAAGAUUUGAUGGAUUAUGGAACAAGGAGUGGCAAGAGCCUAAGCUUGGGGAUGCCCAUGGCACCCCAAGAUAAUCUAAGGACACCAAAAAGGCAAAGCUUGGGGAUGCCCCGGAAGGCAUCCCCUCUUUCGUCUUCGUCCAUCGGUAACUUUACUUGGAGCUAUAUUUUUAUUCACCACAUGAUAUGUGUUUUGCUUGGAGCGUCUUGUAUAAUUUGAGUCUUUGCUUUUUAGUUUACCACAAUCAUCCUUGCUGUACACACCUUUUGAGAGAGACACACAUGAUUCAGAAUUUAUUAGAAUACUCUAUGUGCUUCACUUAUAUCUUUUGAGCUAUAUAGUUUUGCUCUAGUGCUUCACUUAUAUCUUUUAGAGCACGGUGGUGGAUUUGUUUUAUAGAAACUAUUGUUCUCUCAUGCUUCACUUAUAUUAUUUUUAGAGUCCUACAAAACAGCAUGGUAAUUUGCUUUAAUUAUGAUAGGCAUCCAAGAUUAGUAAAAUAAAAUAAAAAUUCUUAUGAGUGCGUUGAAUACUAUGAGAAGUUUGACGCUUGAGAAUUGUUUUGAGAUAUAAAGAUGGUGAUAUUAGAGUCAUGUUAGUUGAGUAGUUGUGAAUUUGAGAAAUACUUGUGUUAAAGUUUGUGAUUCCCGUAGCAUGCACGUAUGGUGAACCGUUAUGUGAUGAAUUCGAAGCAUGAUUUAUUUAUUGAUUGUCUUCCUUAUGAGUGGCGGUCGGGGACGAGCGACGGUCUUUUCCUACCAAUCUACCCCCCUAGGAGCAUGCGUGUAAUACUUUGCUUUGAUAACUCGUAGAUUUUUGCAACAAGUAUAUGAGUUCUUUAUGACUAAUGUUGAGUCCAUGGAUUAUACGCACUCUCUUCCUUCCACCAUUGCUAGCCUCUCUAAUACCGCGCACUUUUCACUGGUAUCAUACACCAACCAUAUAACUUCCUCAAAACAGCCACCAUACCUACCUACCAUGGCAUUUCCAUAGCCAUUCCGAGAUAUAUUGCCAUGCAACUUACCACCGUUCCGUUUACUAUGACACGCUUCAUCAUUGUCAUAUUGCUUUGCAUGAUCAUGUAGUUGACAUUGUAUUUGUGGCAAAGCCACCAUUCAUAAUUCUUUCAUACAUGUCACUCUUGAUUCAUUGCAUAUCCCGGUACACCGCCGGAGGCAUCCACAUAGAGUCAUAUUUUGUUCUAAGUUUGAGUUGUAAUUCUUGAGUUGUAAAGAAAAUAAAAGUAUGAUGAUCAUCAUUAUUAGAGCACUGUCCCAAGUAAGGAAAGGAUGAUGCAGACUAUGAUUCCCCCAUAAGUCGGGAUGAGACUCCAGUCUAAAUAAAAAAAGAAAAAAAAGAGGCCAUAAAAAAGGCCCAAAUAAAAAAUGAGAGAAAAAGAGAGAAGGGACAAUGCUACUAUCAUUUUUCCACACUUGUGCUUCAAAGUAGCACCAUGAUCUUCAUGAUAGAGAGUCUCCUAUGAUAUCACUUUCAUAUACUAGUGGGAAAUUUUCAUUAUAGAACUUGGCUUGUAUAUUCCAAUGAUGGGCUUCCUCAAAAUGCCCUAGGUCUUCGUGAUCAAGCAAGUUGGAUGCACACCCACUUAGUUUCUUUUGUUGAGCUUUCAUAUACUUAUAGCUCUAGUGCAUCCAUUGCAUGGCAAUCCCUACUCACUCACAUUGAUAUCUAUUAAUGGGGAUCUCCAUAGCCCGUUGAUACGCCUAGUUGAUGUGAGACUAUCUUCUCCUUUUUUGUCUUCUCCACAACCACCAUUCUAUUCCACAUAUAGUGCUAUGUCCAUGGCUCACGCUCAUGUAUUGCGUGAAGAUUGAAAAGUUUGAGAACACCAAAAGUAUGAAACAAUUGCUUGGCUUGUCAUCGGGGUUAUGCAUGAUUAAAUACUUUGUGUGAUGAAGAUAGAGCAUAGCCAGACUAUAUGAUUUUGUAGGGAUAACUUUCUUUGGCCAUGUUAUUUGAGAAGACAUAAUUACUUAGUUAGUAUGCUUGAAUUAUUAUUAUUAUGUCAAUAUUAAACUUUUAUCUUGAAUCAUUCGAAUAUGAACAUUCAUACCACAAUUAAGAGAAUUACACUGAAAAUUAUGCCAAGUAGCAUUCCACAUCAAAAAUUCCGUUUUUAUCAUUUACCUACUCGAGGACGAGCAGGAAUUAAGCUUGGGGAUGCUUGAUACGUCUCCAACGUAUCUAUAAUUUUUUGUUGUUCCAUGCUAUAUUAUAUUCUGUUUUGGAUGUUUAAUGGGCUUUAUUAUACACUUUUAUAUUAUUUUUGGGACUAACCUAUUAACCGGAGGCCCAGCCCAAAUUGUUGUUUUUUGCCUAUUUCAGUGUUUCGCAGAAAAAGAAUAUCAAACGGAGUCCAAACGGAAUCAAACCUUCGGGAACGUGAUUUUUGGAACAAACGUGAUGCAUAGGACUUGGAGUCCACGUAAAGAAAUCAAUGAGGAGAGCAUGAGGCAGGGGGGGCGCGCCUACCCCCAGGCGCGCCCUCCACCCUCAUGGGGCCCACGUUGCUCCACCGACGUACUUCUUCCUCCUAUAUAUACCUACGUACCCCAAACCAUCAGGGGCAUCCACGAAAACCUAAUUCCACCGCCGCAACCUUCUGUACCCGUGAGAUCCCAUCUUGGGGCCUUUUCCGGCGCUCCGCCGGAGGGGGCAUUGAUCAUGGAGGGCUUCUACAUCAACACCAUAGCCUCUCCGAUGAUGUGUGAGUAGUUUACCUCAAACCUUCGGGUCCAUAGUUAUUAGCUAGAUGGCUUCUUCUCUCUCUUUGGAUCUCAAUACAAAGUUCUCCUCGAUUCUCUUGGAGAUCUAUUCGAUGUAAUCUUCUUUUGCGGUGUGUUUGUCGAGACCGAUGAAUUGUGGGUUUAUGAUCAAGUUUAUCUAUGAACAAUAUUUGAAUCUCCUCUGAAUUCUUUUAUGUAUGAUUGGUUAUCUUUGCAAGUCUCUUCGAAUUAUCAGUUUGGUUUGGCCUACUAGAUUGAUCUUUCUUGCAAUGGGAGAAGUGUUUAGCUUUGGGUUCAAUCUUGCGGUGCUCGAUCCCAGUGACAGAAAGGGAAACGACACAUAUUGUAUUGUUGCCAUCGAGGAUAACAAGAUGGGGUUUAUAUCAUAUUGCAUGAGUUUAUCCCUCUACAUCAUGUCAUCUUGCUUAAAGCGUUACUCGGUUCUUAUGAACUUAAUACUCUAGAAGCAUGCUAGAUAGCGGUUGAUGUGUGGAGUAAUAGCAGUAGAUGCAGAAUCGUUUCGGUCUACUUGUCGCGGACGUGAUGCCUAUAUACAUGAUCAUACCUAGAUAUUCUCAUAACUAUGCUCAAUUCUAUCAAUUGCUCGACAGUAAUUUGUUCACCCACCGUAAUACUUAUGCUCUUGAGAGAAGCCACUAGUGAAACCUAUGGCCCCCGGGUCUAUUUUCCAUCAUAUUAAUCUUCCAACACUUAGCUAUUUCUAUUGCCGUUUAUUUUACUUUGCAUCUUUAUCAUAAAAAUACCAAAAAUAUUAUCUUAGCAUAUCUAUCAGAUCUCACUCUCGUAAGUGACCGUGAUGGGACUGACAACCCCUUUAUUGCGUUGGUUGCGAGGUUCUUAUUUGUUUGUGUAGGUGCGUGGGAGUAAUAGUAGUAGAUGCAGAAUCGUUUCGGUCUACUUGUCGCGGACGUGAUGCCUAUAUACAUGAUCAUACCUAGAUAUUCUCAUAACUAUGCUCAAUUCUAUCAAUUGCUCGACAGUAAUUUGUUCACCCACCGUAAUACUUAUGCUCUUGAGAGAAGCCACUAGUGAAACCUAUGGCCCCCGGGUCUAUUUUCCAUCAUAUUAAUCUUCCAACACUUAGCUAUUUCUAUUGCCGUUUAUUUUACUUUGCAUCUUUAUCAUAAAAAUACCAAAAAUAUUAUCUUAGCAUAUCUACCAGAUCUCACUCUCGUAAGUGACCGUGAUGGGACUGACAACCCCUUUAUUGCGUUGGUUGUGAGGUUCUUAUUUGUUUGUGUAGGUGCGUGGGACUCGAGGGUGGUCUCCUACUGGAUUGAUACCUUGGUUCUCAAAAACUGAGGGAAAUACUUAUGCUACUUUACUGCAUCGCCCUUUCCUCUUCAAGGGAAAACCAACGCAGUGCUCAAGAGGUAGCACACAUCAUAAUAAGCCUUGCAAGCAAUGUGACUAAUGAGUUAGUUGCAGGAUGAUGCAUUACGGAACGAGUAAACAGACUUGCCGGUAAGGAGAUUGAACUAGGUAUGAAGAUACCAACGAUCAAAUCUCGGGCAAGUAACAUACUGAUGACAAAGGGAAUAACGUAUGUUGUCAUUACGGUACGACCGAUAAAGAUCUUUGUAGAAUAUGUGGGAACCAAUAUGAGCAUCCAGUUUCCGCUGUUGGUUAUUGACCGGAGAGGUGUCUCAAUCAUGUCUACAUAGUUCUCGAACCCGUAGGGUCCGCACGCUUAACGUUCGAUGAUGAUUUUGUAUUAUAUGAGUUAUGUGGUUUGGUGACCGAAUGCUGUUUGGAGUCCCGGGUGAGAUCACGUACAUGACGAGGAGUCUCGAAAUGGCUGAGAGGUAAAGAUUCAUAUAUAGGACGACAAUAUUCGGACACCGGAAGUGUUCCGGGGGUACCGGGUACGUAUCGGGUCACCGAAAGGGUUCCGGGCACCCCCACGGCAAAGAUAUGGGCCUUAUUGGGCCUAGGGCGGGACAGACCAGCCCCUUGUGGGCUGGUGCGCCCCCAUAUGGGCCGAUCUAAGUGGAGAAUGGAAAAGGGGAAGAGGAAAGGAAAUAGAGGGAAUAGGAUUCCCCCUUCCUUUCCCCUCUCCCCUCUUUCCUCCCCCCCUCCGGAGAUAAGGAAAGGGUGAGGCCGAAUUGGAGGAGGGGGGUGCCUAGAACACACACCAACAAUUGUUAGCCAUGUGCGGCGCCCCCUCCAUAGUUUACGCCUCCGGUCAUAUUCACGUAGUGCUUAGGCGAAGCCCUGCACGGAUUACUUCACCAUCACCGUCGCCACGCCAUCGUGCUGAUGGAACUCUCCCUCGACACUUUGCUGGAUCAAGAGUUCGAGGGAUGUCAUCGAGCUGAACGUGUGCAGAACUCGAAGGUGUCGUACGUUCGGUGCUUGAUCGGUCGGAACGAGAAGAAGUUCGACUAUAUCAACCGCGUAAACAAACACUUCCGCUUUAGGUCUACGAGGGUACGUGGACACACUCUCCCCCUCUCGUUGCUAUGCAUCUCCUAGAUAGAUCUUGCGUGAUCGUAGGAUUUUUUUUUGAAAUUGCAUGGUACGUUCCCCAACAGUGGCAUCUGAGCCAGGUCUAUCCGUAGAUGAUAUGCAUGAGUAGAACACAAAGAGUUGUGGGCGAUAAUAGUCAUACUGCUUACCACCAACGUCUUAUUUUGAUUCGACCGUAUUGUUGGAUGAAGCGGCCCAGACCAACCUUACAUGAACACAUUCAUGAGACCGGUUCCACCGACAGACAUGCAACUUGUUUUGCAUAAAGGUGGCUGGCGGGUGUCUGUUUCUCCAACUUUAGUUGAAUCGAAUUUGACUACGGCCGGUCCUUGUUGGAGGUUAAAACAGCACACUUGACGAAAAAUCGUUGUGGUUUUGAUGCGUAGGUAAGAACGGUUCUUACUAGAAGCCCGUAGCAGCCACGUAAAACUUGCAACAACAAAGUAGAGGACGUCUAACUUGUUUUUGCAGGACAUGUUGUGAUGUGAUAUGGUCAAGACAUGAUGUGAGAUAUGUUAUUGUGUGAGAUGAUCAUGUUUUGUAAAAGUUACCGUCAACUGGCACGAGCUUUAUGGUUGUCGCUUUAUUGUAUGAAAUGUAAUCUCCAUGUAAUUGCUUUACUUUAUCACUAUGUGUUAGCGAUAGUCAUAGAAGCAAUAGUUGUGAGACGACAACGACGCUACGAUGGAGAUCAAGGUGUCAAGCCGGUGAAAAUGGAGAUCAUGACGGUGCUUUGGAGAUGGAGAUCAAAGGCACAAGAUGAUGAUGGCCAUAUCAUGUCACAUAUUUUGAUAGCAUGUGAUGUUUAUCUUUUAUGUAUCUUAUUUUGCUUAGUACGACGGUAGCAUUAUAAGAUGAUCCCUCACUAAAUUUCUUGGUAUAAGUGUUCUCCCUGAGUAUAAGUUCAUCUCUUGUAUCCAAUUCUUGUCUCUAAGUCUGGGAUUGGUACCUGUAGGUUGCUAGUAGUGUUGAUUACUCCUUGUAGUUGAUGCUAGUUGGUUUAUUUGGUGGAAGAUCAUAUGUUCAGAUCCUAUAUGCAUAUUAAUACUCCUCUGAUUAUGAACAUGAAUAUGCUUUGUGAGUAGUUACGUUUGUUCCUGAGGACAUGGGAGAAGUCUUGCUAUUAGUAGUCAUGUGAAUUUGGUAUUCGUUUGAUAUUUUGAUGAGAUGUAUGUUGUCUCUCCUCUAGUGGUGUUAUGUGAACAUCGACUACAUGACACUUCACCAUUAUUUGGGCCUAGAGGAAGGCAUUGGGAAGUAAUAAGUAGAUGAUGGGUUGCUAGAGUGACAGAAGCUUAAACCCUAGUUUAUGCGUUGCUUCGUAAGGGGCUGAUUUGGAUCCAUAUGUUUCAUGCUAUGGUUAGGUUUACCUUAAUACUUCUUUUGUAGUUGCGGAUGCUUGCAAUAGGAGUUAAUCAUAAGUGGGAUGCUUGUCCAAGUAAGGACAGCACCCAAGCACCGGUCCACCCACAUAUCAAAUUAUCAAAGUACCGAACGCGAAUCAUAUGAACGUGAUGAAAACUGGCUUGACGAUAAUUCCCAUGUGUCCUCGGGAGCGCUUUUCUCUAUAUAAGAGUUUGUCCAGGCUUGUCCUUUGCUACAAAAAGGAUUGGGCCACCUUGCUGCACUUUAUUUACUUUUGUUACUUGUUGCUCGUUACAAAUUAUCUUAUCACAAAACUAUCUGUUACCUAUAAUUUCAGUGCUUGUAGAGAAUACCUUGCUGAAAACCGCUUAUCAUUUCCUUCUGCUCCUCGUUGGGUUCGACACUCUUACUUAUCGAAAGGACUACGAUAGAUCCCCUAUACUUGUGGGUCAUCACCUCUUCUCACCGGCAGGUUUGAAAUCAUAGUUGAGCUCUUUAAUAGCCCAAUAUGCCUUAUGUUCUAGUUCGAGAUGUAAGUGACAUGCUUUUCCAUAAACCAUUUUAUACGGAGACAUGCCCAUAGGAUUUUUAUAUGCAGUUCUAUAGGCCCAUAAUGCAUCAUCAAGUUUCUUGGACCAAUUCUUUCUAGAUCUAUUAACAGUCUUUUGCAAAAUUAAUUUGAGCUCUCUAUUACUCAAUUCUACUUGACCACUAGACUGUGGGUGAUAAGGAGAUGCAAUUCUAUGAUUAACAUCAUACUUAGCAAGCAUUUUAUGAAAAGCACCAUGAAUAAAAUGUGGACCACCAUCAGUCAUUGAAUAUCUAGGGACUCCAAACCUCGGAAAAAUAACUUCUUUAAGCAUCUUAAUAGAGGUGUUAUGAUCAGCACUACUAGUUGGAAUAGCUUCUACCCACUUAGUAACAUAAUCAUUAGCAACUAAAAUAUGAGUAUAUCCAUUAGAGGCAGGAAACGGUCCCAUAUAAUCAAAGCCCCAAACAUCGAAUGGUUCAAUAACAAGUGAAUAAUUCAUAGGCAUUUCCUGACGUCUACUAAUAUUACCAAUUCGUUGACAUUCAUCACAAGAUAAGACAAACUUACGGGCAUCUUUGAAGAGGGUAGGCCAAUAAAAACCGGAUUGCAAUACCUUAUGUGCAGUUCUAUCUCUAGCGUGGUGUCCUCCAUAAGCCUUGGAGUGACACUUGCAUAGGAUCUGUUCCUGUUCAUGCUCAGGUACACAACGCCUAAUAACACCAUCUACUCCUUCUUUAUAAAGAUGUGGGUCAUCCCAGAAGUAAUGUCUUAAAUCAUAGAAAAACUUUUUCUUUUGCUGGUAUGUGAAACUAGGUGGUAUAAAUUUAGCAACAAUGUUUAGCACAAUCAGCAUACCAUGGAGCAGUACGAGAAGCAUUUAUGACAUUUAAUUGUUCAUCAGGAAAGCUAUCAUCAAUAGGUAGUGGGUCAUCAAGAACAUUUUUUAACCUAGACAAGUUAUCUGCAACGGGGUUCUCAGCUCCCUUUCUAUCAAUAAUAUGUAAAUCAAAUUCUUGUAGCAAGAGAACCCAUCUAAUAAGUCUAGAUUUAGCAUCUUUCUUUUCCAUAAGAUAUUUAAUAGCAGCAUGAUCAGUGUGAAUAGUUACUCUAGAAUCAACAAUAUAAGGUCUGAACUUAUCACAAGCAAAUACAACUGCUAAGAAUUCUUUUUCAGUAGUCGCAUAAUUUCUCUGGGCAUUGUCUAGAGUUUUACUAGCAUAUUGGAUAACAUUUAAUUUCUUAUCAACUCUUUCCCUAGAACAACACCUACAGCAUAAUCGCUAGCAUCACACAUAAUUUCAAAGGGUAAAUUCCAGUCAGGUGGCUGAACGAUAGGUGCAGAAAUUAAUGCUUUCUUAAGUAUUUCAAAUGCUUCUACACAAUCAUCAUCAAAGACAAAAGGUAUAUCUUUUUGUAAGAGAUUAGUCAGAGGCCGAGAAAUUUUUGAGAAGUCCUUAAUGAACCUCCUAUAAAAACCGGCAUGACCAAGGAAACUUCUUAUACCUUUGAUGUCCUUAGGACACGACAUCUUUUCAAUAGCAUCAACUUUAGCUUUAUCAACUUCAAUACCUCUUUCAGAAAUUUUAUGCCCCAAAACAAUGCCUUCAUUAACCAUAAAGUGGCACUUCUCCCAAUUCAAGACAAGAUUAGUUUCUUCACAUCUCUGCAAAACUCGAUCAAGGUUGCUCAAGCAAUCAUCAAAAGAGGAUCCAUAAACGGAGAAAUCGUCCAUGAAAACCUCACAUAUCUUUUCCCAAAAGUCAGAGAAUAUAGCCAUCAUGCAUCUUUGAAAGGUAGCAGGUGCAUUACAUAAACCAAAAGGCAUACGCCUAUAAGCAAAAGUACCGAAAGGGCAAGUAAAAGUGUUCUUUGCUUGAUCAUCAGUUGACACAGGUAUUUGAGAGAAACUAGAGUAACCAUCUAGAAAGCAAAAAUGUGUAUGUUUGGAUAAUCUUUCUAGCAUUUGAUCAAUAAAAGGAAAGGGGUAAUGAUCUUUUUUAGUAGCCUUAUUUAAUUUGCGGAAAUCAAUUACCAUCCUAUAACCUGUAAUAAUUCUUUGCGGAAUCAAUUCAUCUUUAUCAUUAGGAACGACAGUAAUACCUCCCUUCUUAGGGACACAAUGGACAGGACUUACCCACUGACUAUCAGCAACGGGAUAAAUUAUACCUGCCUCAAGGAGCUUUAGUAUUUCCUUUCUUACCACUUCUUUCAUCUUAGGAUUCAGCCGUCGUUGAUGAUCAAUAACUGGUUUGGCAUCUUUCUCCAAGUUUAUUUUGUGUUGACAUAGAGUGGGACUAAUGCCCUUAAGAUCAUCAAGAGUAUAUCCAAUAGCAGCACGGUGCUUCUUCAGAGUUUUCAAUAAUUUCUCUUCUUCAUGCUCUGAAAGGUUAGCACUAAUAAUAACAGGAUAUAUCUUCUUUUCAUCAAGCAUAUUUAAGAGUAUCAGGUAAUGGUUUAAGCUCAAACACGGGAUCACCCUUGGGUGGAGGAGGAUCCCCUAGGAUUUCAACAGGCAAGUUGUGUUUCAGAAUAGGUCCCUGUUUAAAGAAUACUUCAUCUAUUUCCCUUCUUUCAUUCAUAAACAUAUCAUUUUCAUGGUCUAGCAAAUAUUGUUCUAAAGGAUCACUAAGAGGUACGGCAAUAGAAGCAAGACCAGUAAUUUCAUCUUUACUAGGCAAUUCCUCAUCAAGAGGUUGUCUACGAAAUUUAGAGAAUUAAACUCAUGAGACAUAUCAUCCAAACCAAUAGUAACAACAUCCUUUUUGUAGUCUAUCUUAGCAUUAACAGUAUUCAAGAAGGGUCUACCAAAUAUAAUGGGACAAAAGCUAUCUUGAGGGGAACCAAGAACAAGAAAAUCAGUAGGAUACUUAGCUUUCCCACACAAGACUUCAACAUCUCUAACAAUACCAAUUGGUGAAAUUGUAUCUCUAUUGGCAAGCUUAAUGGUGACAUCAAUUUCUUCUAACUCAGCAGGUGCAAUGUCAUGCAUAAUUUCUUUGUAUAAGGAAAUAGGUAUUGCACUAGCACUAGCACCCAUAUCACACAAGCCAUGAUAACAAUGAUCUCCUAUUUUAACAGAAAUAACAGGCAUGCCUACCACGGGUCUAUGUUUAUCUUUAGCACUAGGUUUAGCAAUUCUAGCAGUCUCAUCACAGAAGUAAAUAACAUGCCCAUCGAUAUUAUCAGCCAAGAGAUCUUUAACAAUAGAAAUAUUAGGUUCAACUUUAACAUGCUCAGGAGGUGUAUAAGUUCUAAUAUUGCUUUUAUGAACCACAGUUGAAGCUUUAGCAUGAUCCUUUAUCCUAACAGGGAAAGGUGGUUUCUCAACAUAAGAAGUAGGAACAAUAGGAUCAUUAUAAGUGAUAGUCUUUUCUUCAACUUUAAUAGGUGCAACUACUUUUACUUCAACGGGAGGAUUAUAUUUAAACCACUUCUCCUUAGGGACAUCAACAUGAGUAGCAAAGGAUUCACAUAAAGAAGCUACUAUCUCAGAGUCAAGUCCAUAUUUAGUGCUAAAUUCACGGAAAGCAUCGGUAUCCAUAAAAGAUUUAACACAAUCAAACUUAGGUGUUAUACCUGACUCCUUACCUUCGUCGAGGUCCCAAUCUUCAGAGUUGCAUUUAAUUCUUUCCAAUAAAUCCCAUUUGAAUUCAAUAGUCUUCAUCAUAAAAGAGCCAGCACAAGAAGUAUCGAGCAUGGAGCGAUUAUUGUGAGAAAGCCGAGCAUAAAUUUUUUGAAUAAUCAUUUCUCUUGAGAGCUCAUGAUUGGGGCAUGAAUAUAACAUUGACUUAAGCCUCCCCCAAGCUUGAGCGAUGCUUUCUCCUUCGCGAGGCCAAAAAUUAUAUAUAUAAUUACGAUCACGAUGAACAAGAUGCAUAGGAUAAAACUUCUAAUGAAAUUCCAAUUUCAAUCGCUUAUAGUCCCAUGAUCCCAUAUCAUCACAUAGCCUAUACCAUAUCAAUGCAUCUCCCUUCAAAGAUAAAGGGAAGACCUUCUUCUUGAUAACAUCAUCGGGCAUACCUGCAAGCUUAAAUAAUCCACAAACUUCAUCCACAUAGAUUAGGUGUAAAUCGGGAUGCAAUGUUCCAUCUCCUGCAAAAGGAUUAGCUAGCAGUUUCUCUAUCAUACCCGAAGGAAUUUAAAAGUAGACAUUUUCAUUUUCAGUAGGUUCAGUAGGUUGAGGAGCAACUAUAUGCUCUACCGGUCGGGGUGAAGAUACCCCGAACAAGCCCCUCAAAGGAUUACUUUCCAUAGUAACAAGUGACAGUAAAUUUCAGCACACUAUAUAAAUUUUUCCUUACCAAAUUCCACCUACCAAAGGCGCUUCACUCCCCGGCAAUGGCGCCAGAAAAGAGUCUUGAUGACCCACAAGUAUAGGGGAUCUAUCGUAGUCCUUUCGAUAAGUAAGAGUGUCGAACCCAACGAGGAGCAGAAGGAAAUGGUAAGCGGUUUUCAGCAAGGUAUUCUCUGCAAGCACUGAAAUUAUCGGUAACAGAUAGUUUUGUGAUAAAGUAAUUUGUAACGAGCAACAAGUAAAAAAAGUAAAUAAAGUGCAGCAAGAUGGCCCAAUCCUUUUUGUAGCAAAGGACAAGCCUGGACAAACUCUUAUAUAGAGAAAAGCGCUCCCGAGGACACAUGGGAAUUAUCGUCAAGCUAGUUUUCAUCACGUUCAUAUGAUUCACGUUCGGUACUUUGAUAACUUGAUAUGUGGGUGGACCGGUGCUUGGGUGCUGUACUUACUUGGACGAGCAUCCCACUUAUGAUUAACUCCUAUUGCAAGCAUCCGCAACUACAAAAGAAGUAUUAAGGUAAACCUAACCAUAGCAUGAAACAUAUGGAUCCAAAUCAGCCCCUUACGAAGCAACGCAUAAACUAGGGUUUAAGCUUCUGUCACUCUAGCAACCCAUCAUCUACUUAUUACUUCCCAAUGCCUUCCUCUAGGCCCAAAAAAUGGUGAAGUGUCAUGUAGUCGACGUUCACAUAACACCACUAGAGGAGAGACAACAUACAUCUCAUCAAAAUAUCGAACGAAUACCAAAUUCACAUGACUACUAAUAGCAAGACUUCUCCCAUGUCCUCAGGAACAAAUGUAACUACUCACAAAGCAUAUUCAUGUUCAUAAUCAGAGGAGUAUUAAUAUGCAUAAUGGAUCUGAACAUAUGAUCUGCCACCAAGUAAACCAACUAGCAUCAACUACAAGGAGUAAUCAACACUACUAGCAACCCACAGGUACCAAUCUCAGACUUAGAGACAAGAAUUGGAUACAAGAGAUGAACUAGGGUUUGAGAGGAGAUGGUGCUGGUGAAGAUUUUGAUGGCGAUUGGCCCCCUCCCGAUGAGAGGAGCGUUGGUGAUGACGAUGGCGAUGAUUUCCCCCUCCCGGAGGGAAGUGUCGCCGGCAGAACAGCUCCGCCAGAGCCCUAGAUUGGUUCCGCCAAGGUUCCGCCUCGUGGCGGCAGAGUCUCGUCCCGAAAGCUUUCUUAUGAUUUUUUCUCAGACGAAAGACUUCAUAUAGCAGAAGAUGGGCACCGGAGGGCCACCAGGGGGCCCAUGAGGCAGGGGCGCGCCCAGGGGGGUAGGGCACGCCCCCACCCUCGUGGCCAGGGUGUGGGCCCCCUCUGGUAUUUUCUUCGCUCAGUAUUUUUUUUUAUUUACAAAAAUAACUUCCGUGGAGUUUCAGGACUUUUGGAGUUGUGCAGAAUAGGUCUCCAAUAUUUGCUCCUUUUCCAGCCCGGAAUUCCAGCUGCCGGCAUUCUCCCUCUUUAUGCAAACCUUGUAAAAUAAGAGAGAAUAGGCAUAAGUAUUGUGACAUAAUGUGUAAUAACAACCCAUAAUGCAAUAAAUAUCGAUAUAAAAGCAUGAUGCAAAAUGGACGUAUCAAUGUCUAUCUAAGUGGGAGUUCUUAAGUAAUAUGAUUAAUUGAACUUGAAUUUAUCAUGAACUUAGUCCUGAUAGUUUUUGCAUAUCUAUGUUGUAGAUCAAUGGCCCGUGCUACCAUUCCCUUGAAUUUUGUUCCUAGAGAAAGCUAAGUUGAAAGAUGAUGGUAGCAACUACAUGGACUGGGUCCGUAACUUGAGGAUUAUUCUCAUUGUUGCACAACAGAAUUAUGUCCUUGAUGCACCGAUAGGUGUGAGGCCUGCUGCAGGAGGAACUCCGGACGUUAUGAACGUCUGGCAAACUAGAUCUGAUGACUACUAGAUAGUUCAGUGUGCCAUGCUCUACGGCUUAGAAUCGGGACUUCAAAGACGUUUUGAACGUCAUGGAGCAUAUGAGAUGUUCCAGGAGUUGAAGUUAAUAUUUCAAGCAAAUGCCCGAGUUGAGAGAUAUGAAGUCUCCAACAAGUUCUAUAGCUGCAAGAUGGAGGAGAAUAGUUCUGUCAGUGAACACAUACUCAGAAUGUCUGGGUACCAUAACCACUUGACUCAGCUGGGAGUUAAUCUUCCUGAUGAUAGUGUCAUUGACAGAGUUCUUCAAUCACUGCCACCAAGCUAUAAAGGCUUCGUGAUGAACUAUAAUAUGCAAGGGAUGAACAAGACGAUUCCCGAGCUCUUCGCAAUGCUUAAGGCUGCGGAGGUAGAAAUCAAGAAGGAGCAUCAAGUGUUGAUGGUUAACAAGACCACUAGUUUCCAGAAAAAGGGCAAAGGGAAGAAGGGGAACUUCAACAAGAAUAGCAAACAAGUUGCUGCUCCUGGGAAGAAGCCCAAGUCUGGACCUAAGCCUGAAACUGAGUGCUUCUACUGCAAAGGGACUGGUCACUGGAAGCGGAACUGCCCCAAGUAUUUGGCGGAUAAGAAGGAUGGCAAAGUGAACAAAGGUAUAUUUGAUAUACAUGUUAUUGAUGUGUACAUUACUAAUGCUCGUAGUAGCGCCUGGGUAUUUGAUACUGGUUCUGUUGCUCAUAUUUGCAACUCGAAACAGGGGCUAUGGAUUAAACGAAGAUUGGCUAAGGACGAGGUGACGAUGCGCGUCGGAAAUGGUUCCAAGGUCAAUGUGAUCGCCGUCGGCACGCUACCUCUACAUCUACCUUCGGGAUUAGUUUUAGACCUGAAUAAUUGUUAUUUGGUGCGAGCGUUGAGCAUGAACAUUAUAUCUGGAUCUUGUUUGAUGCGAGACGGUUAUUCAUUUAAAUCAGAGAAUAAUGGUUGUUCUAUUUAUAUGAGUAAUAUCUUUGAUGGUCAUGCACCCUUGAUGAGUGGUCUAUUUUUGUUGAAUCUCGAUCGUAGUGAUACACAUAUUCAUAAUAUUGAUGCCAAAAGAAGCAAAGUUAGUAAUGAUAGUGCAACUUAUUUGUGGCACUACCGUUUAGGUCAUAUUGGUGUAAAGCGCAUGAAGAAACUCCAUGCAGAUGGACUUUUGGAAUCACUUGAUGCUUGCAAACCAUGCCUCAUGGGCAAGAUGACUAAGACUCCGUUCUUCGGAACAAUGGAGCGAGCCACUGACUUAUUGGAAAUAAUACAUACCGAUGCAUGUUGUCAGAUGAGUGUUGAGGCUCGCGGCGGGUAUCGUUAUUUUCUGACCUUCACAGAUGAUUUGAGCAGAUAUGGGUAUAUCUACUUAAUGAAACAUAAGUCUGAAACAUUUGAAAAGUUCAAAGAAUUUCAGAGUGAAGUGGAAAAUCAUCGUAAAAAGAAAAUAAAGUUUCUACGAUCUGAUCGUGGAGGCGAAUAUUUGAGUUACGAGUUUGGUCUUCAUUUGAAACAAUGUGGAAUAGUUUCGCAACUCACGUCACCUGGAACACCACAUCAUAAUGGUGUGUCUGAACGUCGUAACCGUACUUUAUUAGAUAUGGUGCGAUCUAUGAUGUCUCUUACCGAUUUACCACUAUCGUUUUGGGGUUAUGCAUUAGAGACAACUGCAUUCACGUUAAAUAGGGCACCAUCUAAAUCCGUUGAGACGACACCAUAUGAACUAUGCUUUGGCAAGAAACCUAAGCUGUCGUUUCUCAAAGUUUGGGGUUGCGAUACUUAUGUGAAAAAGCUUCGGCCUGAUAAGCUCGAACCCAAAUCGGAGAAAUGCAUCUUCGUAGGAUACCCAAAAUAAACUGUUGGGUACACCUUCUAUCACAGAUUCGAAGGCAAGAUAUUUGUUGCUAAGAAUGGAUCCUUUCUGGAGAAAGAGUUUCUCUCAAAAGAAGUGAAUGGGAGGAAAGUAGAACUUGAUGAGGUAAUUGUACCUUCUCUCGAAUUGGAAAGUAGUUCAUCACAUAAAUCAGUUCCAGUGAUGCCUACACCAAUUAGUGAGGAAGUUAAUGAUGAUGAUCAUGAAACUUCAGAUCAAGUUACUACCGAACCUCGUAGGUCAACCAGAGUACGUUCCGCACCAGAGUGGUACGGUAAUCCUAUUCUGGAAGUCAUGUUGCUAGACCAUGAUGAACCUACGAACUAUGAGGAAGCAAUGAUGAGCCCAGAUUCUGCGAAAUGGCUUGAGGCCAUGAAAUCUGAGAUGGGAUCCAUGUAUGAGAACAAAGUGUGGACAUUGGUUGACUUGCCCGAUGAUCGGCAAGCCAUAGAGAAUAAAUGGAUCUUCAAGAAGAAGACUGACGUUGAUGGUAAUGUUACUGUCCAUAAAGCUUGACUUGCUGCAAAAGGUUUUCGACAAGUUCAAGGAGUUGACUACGAUGAGACUUUCUCACCUGUAGCGAUGCUUAAGUCUGUCCGAAUCAUGUUAGCAAUUUCGCAUUUUAUGAUUAUGAAAUUUGGCAAAUGGAUGUCAAAACUGCAUUCCUUAAUGGAUUUCUUAAGGAAGAGUUGUAUAUGAUGCAACCAGAAGGUUUUAUCGAUCCAAAAGGUGCAAACAAAGUGUGCAAGCUCCAUCGAUCCAUUUAUGGACUGGUGCAAGCAUGUCGGAGUUGGAAUACAUGCUUUGAUAGUGUGAUCAAAAUAUGGUUUUAUACAAACUUUUGGAGAAACCUGUAUUUACAAGAAAGUGAGUGGGAGCUUUGUAGCAUUUCUAAUAUUAUAAUGUGGAUGACAUAUUAUUGAUUGGAAAUAAUACAGAAUUUCUGGAUAGCAUAAAAGGAUGCUUGAAUAAGAAUUUUUCAAUGAAAGACCUCGUUGAAGCUGAUUAUAUGUUGGGCACCAAGAUCUAUAGAGAUAGAUCAAGACGCUUAAUUGGACUUUCACAAAGCACAUACCUUGAUAAAGUUUUAAAGAAGUUCAAAAUGGAUCAGUCAAAGAAAGGGUUCUUGCCUGUGUUACAAGGUGUGAAGUUGAGUCAGACUCAAUGCCCGACCACUGCAGAAGAUAGAGAGAAAAUGAAAGUCAUUACCUAUGCUUCAGCCAUAGGUUCUAUCAUGCAUGCAAUGAUGUGUACCAGACCUGAUGUGUGCCUUGCUAUAAGUUUAGCAGGGAGGUACCAAAGUAAUCUAGGAGUGGAUCACUGGACAGCGGUCAAGAACAUCCUGAAAUACCUGAAAAGGACUAAGGAUAUGUUUCUCGUUUAUGGAGGUGACAAAGAGCUUGUCGUAAAUGGUUACGUCGAUGCUAUCUUUGACACUGGUCCAGAUGACUCUGAGUCUCAAUCUGGAUACAUAUUGAAAGUGGGAGCAAUUAGCUAGAGCAUUGUAGACAUAGAAAUUGUCAAAAUACAUACGGAUUUGAAUGUGGCAGACCCGCUGACUAAACCACUCUCACAAGCAAAAUAUGAUCACACCUUAGUACUCUUUGGGUGUUAAUCACAUGGCGAUGUGAACUAGAUUACUGACUCUAGUAAACCCUUUGGGUGUUGCUCACAUGGCGAUGUGAACUAUGGGUGUUAAUCACAUGGUGAUGUGAACUAUUGGUGUUAAAUCACAUGGCGAUGUGAUCUAGAUUAUUGACUAUAGUGCAAGUGGGAGACUGAAGGAAAUAUGCCCAAGAGGCAAUAAUAAAGUUGUUGUUUUAUAUUUCCUUAUAUCAUGAUAAAUGAUUAUUCAUGCUAGAAUUGUAUUAACCGGAAACUUGAUACAUGUGUAGAUACAUAAACAAAACAUAGUGUCCCUAGUAAGCCUCUACUAGACUAGCUCGUUAAUCAAAGAUGGUUAAGUUUCCUAACCAUAGGCAUAUGUUAACAUAUGAUGAAUGGGAUCACAUCAUUAGGAGAAUGAUGUGAUGGACAAGACCCAUCCGUUAGCUUAGCAUAAUGAUCGUUCAGUUUUAUUGCUAUAGCUUUCUUCAUGUCAUAUACAUAUUCCUUUGGCUAUGAGAUUAUGCAACUCCCGGAUACUGGAGGAAUGCCUUGUGUGCGAUCAAACGUUACAACGUGACUGGGUGAUUAUAAAGAUGCUCUACAGGUAUCUCCGAAGGUGUUUGUUGGGUUGGCAUAGAUCGAGAUUAGGAUUUGUCACUCCGAGUACCGGAGAGGUAUCUCUGGGCCCUCUCGGUAAUGCACAUCAUAAUAAGACUUGCAAGCAAUGUGACUAAUGAGUUAGUUGCGGGAUGAUGCAUUACAGAAUGAGUAAAGAAACUUGCCGGUAACAAGAUUGAACUAGGUAUGAAGAUACCGAUGAUCAAAUCUCGGGCAAGUAACAUACCGAUGACAAAGGGAAUAAUGUAUGUUGUCAUUACAGUAUGACCAAUAAAGAUCUUCGUAGAAUAUGUGGGAACCAAUAUGAGCACCCAGGUUCUGCUGUUGGCUAUUGACCGGAGAGGUGUCUCGGUCAUGUCUACAUAGUUCUCGAACCCGUAGGGUCCGCACGCUUAACGUUUGAUGACGAUUUUGUAUUAUAUGAGUUAUGUGAUUUUUUGACCGAAUGCUGUUCGGAGUCCCGGAUGAGAUCACGGACAUGACGAGGAGUCUCGAAAUGGUCGAGAGGUAAAGAUUCAUAUAUAGGACGAUAGUAUUCAGACAUCGGAAGUGUUCCGGGGGUACCGGGUACGUAUCGGGUCACCGGAAGGGUUCCGGGCACCCCCCAGCAAAGAUAUGGGCCUUAUUGGGCCUAGGGCGGGACAGACCAGCCCCUUGUGGGCUGGUGCGCCCCCAUAUGGACCGAUCUAAGUGGAGAAAGGAAAAGGGGAAGAGGAAAGGAAAUAGAGGGAACAGGAUUCCCCCUUCCUUUCCCCUCUCCCCUCUUUCCUUCCCCCCUCCGGAGAUAAGGAAAGGGGGAGGCCGAAAUUGGAGGAGGCCCCAAGUAGGAUUCCUCCUACUUGGGGCGCCCCAAGGCUGCUCCCCUCCCUCUCCCACCUAUAUAUACAUGGGGAGGGGCGCCUAGAACACACACCAACAAUUGUUAGCCAUGUACGGCGCCCCCCUCCACAGUUUACGCCUCCGGUCAUAUUCACGUAGUGCAUAGGCGAAGCCCUGCGCGGAUUACUUCACCAUCACCGUCACCACGCCGUCGUGCUGAUGGAACUCUCCCUCGACACUUUGUUGGAUCAAGAGUUCGAGGGACGUCAUCGAGCUGAACGUGUGCAGAACUCGGAGGUGCCGUACGAUCAGUGCUUGAUCGAUCGGAACGAGAAAAAGUUCGACUACAUCAACCGCGUAAACAAACACUUCCGCUUUCGGUCCACGAGGGUACGUGGACACACUCUCCCCCUCUCAUUGCUAUGCAUCUCCUAUAUAGAUCUUGCGUGAUCAUAGGAUUUUUUUUGAAAUUGCAUGCUACGUUCCCCAACACGGCCUCCCCGGGCUGCUGAUGUCUACUACGCAACUUUAUUCUUGUAGACACAUGUUGGGCCUCCAAGUGUAGAGUUCUGUAGGACAGUAGCAAUUUUUACUCAAGUGGAUGACCUAAGGUUUAUCAAUCCGUAGGAGGCGUAAGAUGAAGAUAUAUAGUCUCUCUCAAACGAUCCUGCAACCAAAUACAAGAUAUCUCUUGUGUCCCCAACACACCCAAUACAAUGGUAAUUUGUAUAGGUGCACUAGUUCGGCGAAGAGAUGGUGAUAAAAAUGUAAUAUUGAUGGUAGAAAUAUAUUUUUAUAAUCUGAAUAAAUAAAAACAGCAAGGUAGCAAUUGAUAAAAGUGAGCACACACGAUAUUGUAGUACUUAAAAAAUGAGGCCUAGGGUCCGUAAUUUCACUAGUGCAAUCUCCCAACAAUGCUAAUAUAAUUGGAUCAUAUAACCAUCCCUCAACGUGCGAUGAAGAAUCACUCCAAAGUUCCUAUCUAGCGAAGAACAUAAGAAUAAAUUGUUUGUAGGGUACGAAACCAUCUCAAAGCUAUUCUUUCCGAUCAAUCUAUCCUAGAGUUCGUACUAAAAUAACAACAAGCUAUUCUUUUUGAUCGAUCUAACCAAGAGUUCGUACUAAAAUAACACUAAAGCAAAUUCAGAUUCAUAAUACUCAAUCCGACACAAAGAACUUCAAAGAGUGCCCCAAGAUUUCUACCGGAGAAACAAAGACAAGAACAUGCAUCAACCCCUAUGCAUAGAUUACCCCAAUGUCACCUCGGGAAUCAGCGAGUUGAGUGCCAAAACAUAUAUCAAGUGAAUCAAUACGAUACCCCAUUGUCACCACGAGUAUUCAAUUGCAAGACAUAUAUCAAGUGUUCUCAAAUCCAUAAAAGUAUUCAAUCCGAUAACAACGAAAUCUCAAAGGAAAAAACUCAAUUCAUCACAACAAGAUAGAGAGGGGAAAACACCAUAUGAUUCAACUAUAUUAACAAAGCCCGCGAUACAUCAAGAUCGUAACAUCUCAAGAACACAAGAGAGAGAGAGAUUAAACACAUAGCUACUGGUACAAACCUCAGCCCCGAUGGUGGACUACUCCCUCCUCAUCAUGGCGGCCGCCGGGAUGAUGAAGAUGGCCACCGAUGAUGAUUUUCCCCCUCCGGCAGGGUGCUGGAAAGGGUCUAGAUUCGUUUUUGGUGGCUACAGAGCCUUGCGGCGGCGGAACUUGAUGUAUGGCGGAUUUAUAGGAACCACCGCACUGUUAAGUGGGGUCCAAGUGAACAAAGUCGGAGUGACUGAAGUGAUGCUCAACCAAAUCCUAAGUCUUCGAGCAAAGACAAUGAGAGCAAAUCUUAAGCUGGAUGAGUCAGCUUUAUUUGUAGCCCAAGUCAAGCUGCUGCGUGUGUUUGAAAUCCGACCGUUGGACACGUGUCAGUUCCUUAGUGACCCAGGGUCAUUUUGGACAAAUCAGGUCGGGUUGUCUCCUGGCUAUAAAUAGCCCACCCCUACACCAUAAAUUGGUGGCUACUCAGAGUUAGUGCACGGCUUUUGUCGUCUGAGAGCAACCCACCUCCGAAGCAUUUGAGAGAGCGAUCCUUGCGAGAACAAAGCCCAAAACACCCAGAGCCAAAGAGUGUUAGGCAUCACUAAAGUCUUUCUGUCUGAGUGAUCUGAAACUUGUUAGACUUGAGGACUGUGAAUCCUCCAGUCGGUUAGGCGUCGCGUUCUGAGCAUCCAAGAGUCAUUUUGGAUUGCCGGUGAAUGAAGUCUGUGAAGGUUUGGAAGUCUACCUUGAAGACUUACCAGAGUGAUUGGGCGAGGACUAUGUGUUCUUAGCUCAAGGGGAAUAAGGCGAAGACGCGGUCUUCUGAGUUGAAUCUUAGCCUCCCUAAUCAGACGUACAGUUGUCACAGCAACUGGGACUGGUCCAACAAAUCCCUGUCCUCACCAAGCAACUGGUUCUAUCUCUUACCUCCCUUUACUUACAGUCUGUCUUCGAGAAGUCAUUGCCUGCUUGCAUGAUCUGAUUGUCUUCACUGUGCAAAGACUGCUGUUGAUUGGCUUCAUACUAUCUUCCAUCCUGAUCCAUACUACCUAGCUGCUGAUAGUCUUUGUGCUUUCACUUCAUUGCUUACUUGAUUAUGGCUUGUCUAGUGUAGUCUACCUUCCGCUGCAUAUCAAUAGGUUUAUCUCUUCUGUUUGUCUUCAAAGCCCCUGUGUUUUGAAGACUUUCAUAAAAAUUGCCUAUUCACCCCCCUCUAGUCGAUAACUAGCACUUUCACUUUGCAUUGGGUCAUUACAUGUGACCAAGUUACCAGGAAAAAUAAUAAACUUUUAAUGCGGUAAUUCUUUUAAAAAAGUGUUCUCAGAAAUGAGUUAUCAUGUGUGAAGAUUCAUGGCUUUCAAGCCAAAUGAUCAAUCUUAUGGCCACAUUCAUGGCAUAGUUUUUUUAAAAUGAUCUUAUAUUGCUCAUAAGGGUCCAUCUUGGAAUGGCAAACAAUGUUGCCUAAGGGAGUUUUCAUUUUCUUUGGAUGAAAAAUCAUUUUUCCAUUUUUCGAGUGCCCAAAAUGAGUUUUUUUGUGAAGGACCUACCAUAUAUUUGUUGCAAAAUUCGACCAAAUAAAUUUUCUAAAAUACUAGGACAUAUUUAAUGCACAAUUGACCAAAUGGUUGGGUGUAAAAAGUUUGGAUCCACCUCUGGUAAAAAGAAAAAUUUCCGUCGAUUCAGUUGGAAGCGGGUCAAAUUUGAACUGCGGCUGCCUCAUAGUUUGCUCUUUAUUUUUUUUCAAAAAUCAUUUAUAGGUACAUAAGUAUCUAUUUAAUCUUGGAUUUUUUUUGUGUUUCUCUGAUUAAAUAGAUACUUAUGUGUGAAUUGGAAAACCUUUGCAUUGUGUCAUUACAUGUGACCAAGUUACCGGGAAAAAUAAUAAACUUGUAAUGCAACAAUUUAAAAAUAAAGUGGGCACAACCCACUUGGGCGAGCCUGGGCUCCCAGGCGCGCCCUGGUGGGUUGUGCCCCCCUCGGGGCACCCCCCCCAGGUGCUGCUCUGGCCCAUCCUGGGUGUCCUGGUCCAUAAAAAAUCUCCAAAAAGUUUCACAGUGUUUGAACUUCGUUUGAUAUUGAUUUCUUGCGAUGUAAAAAACAAGCAAAAAACAGCAACUGGCACUGGACACUGGGUCAAUAAGUUAGUCCCAAAAAACGAUAUAAAGUUGCUAUAAAAUGAUUGUAAAACAUCCAAGAAUGAUAAUAUAUCAGCAUGAAUACUUCAUAAAUUAUAGAUACAUUGGAGACGUAUCAGCUGCCUCCCGAGGAGCGGAGAUUUCUAUGUAGGUGCCCACCUCGUGAGGUUGAGGUGACGCAAGCCAUGACGACCAAGGCCAGGUGGGCGCAGAGGAGCAGGUUUCCUCUUUGGUGCUAAGGAGGCAAGCGCAGGCGCGGGGUCCCGAGGAAUCAGCGAAAGGUUUCCAUUCCCGUGCAACAAGACCAAGACCGCCAGAACGGCAGGACGGAUGUCAUCACCGAGCCCACCGCAGCGUCACGAGUAGAAGCUUUGCAGGCGAAGACCACCUUUCAUUAGGAUAAGAUGUUACUUGUCCCCUUUCAAAAUUGGCCAUUGUGGGAUCCCUUCCCGCCUACAUUUUGGGGGAAGAGGACCGAGGCCACUAUAAAUAUAGGUUAGCCACCACCAUAGGGGAAGGCCGAUCCCUUUCCACCCUCACCAGAGCAGACCUCGCGAGGUUGUUCAUCCCUUAUACUAGUUCAUCCUCAGCCCCUUGUGAGGCUAAUCCACCUGAAAGUAGGAGUAGGGUCUUACACCGCAAGGUGGCCCGUGUAACACCCCGAGAAUCAUGCUACAGUAAUCCCCUUUAAAUGAUGCCUUGUCAUCAUUGUUACUGUUGCUAAUCUCACUUUGAUUCUAUUCCCGUACAAAUCUCAAUUUCAAAUUAAAGUAAAAAUUCUAAAUUGCUCAAACAUGAAAACUAAAAUGCUCAUCAUGUGGCAAAUAUCCUUUUGGCAAUAUUGGUGGUGAACCAACAUUUUUGCAAAGUGUUUAAAUGCCCUAAACUAAUUAAAACAAUGGUUAAAACGUUGCUUAAAUGCCUUUUUGUUUUAUAAAAAUGCUAAGCUAAUUUAUUUAACUACCAAACUAAUUGUGGCAGUAGUCUAAAUUAUAAUAAUAAUUUAGGUUCAACCUUUGAGUUUUAUAAAACUGUUUUGCCUUUUGAAAUUAAAAGAAAACAAAGAAGUUUCAAAAAAGAAAAGAAAAGAAAAGCCCCCCACUGGGCAACCGGCCCAGCUGGCCACCAGGCCGACUAGGCCGGCCCACCCCACUCCCCUAUACACCCCCUCUGCCCAAACCCAAACCAAAACCUAGCACCCCCACUCCCCCCACUCAUUCGCCUGUCCCCUCCCCCUCCUCUCGUUCCCGAUCUGGAUCGGGAAGGGGAGCGAUCNNNNNNNNNNNNNNNNNNNNNNNNNNNNNNNNNNNNNNNNNNNNNNNNNNNNNNNNNNNNNNNNNNNNNNNNNNNNNNNNNNNNNNNNNNNNNNNNNNNNNNNNNNNNNNNNNNNNNNNNNNNNNNNNNNNNNNNNNNNNNNNNNNNNNNNNNNNNNNNNNNNNNNNNNNNNNNNNNNNNNNNNNNNNNNNNNNNNNNNNNNNNNNNNNNNNNNNNNNNNNNNNNNNNNNNNNNNNNNNNNNNNNNNNNNNNNNNNNNNNNNNNNNNNNNNNNNNNNNNNNNNNNNNNNNNNNNNNNNNNNCGAGGACCCGAAGCCGCCUAACGCUGCCCCGCCGUCCCCGCGUCCCCAUCCUCAUCCCCACCGGACUGCGCCCGCCUUCCCGCCGUCGCGACGCCGCCCCGUCGUCCUCGUCUCCUCCUCGCCGAACGCAACCCCGACUCCUCCCCAAGUCCGCUGCCAUUCCCCUACGGCCCCGCCGUGAGCACCUCCCUCCUCCUCCCUCGCCUCCUCUGUGCGCGCGCCCGACGUCACCGUGCGCCCCGGCUGCCCCGCCUGCAGUCGCCGCGGACCGCGGACGCCCACAGCCGUGUCGGCCAUGCCGUCGCCCUUGUCGGCUACCUCUGCACCGCCUCCACUCGCCGGCGGCUACAGCGCGUCCCUCCUCUGCAACCCCAUUGCCACUUCCCACCGCGACAUCCUGCCCCUCGCCGUGCUCCCCCGCACCCCGUAUUGCGACCAGCGCCGUCCGCGAGCGAGCCCCGCCGAGCCCGCUCGCUGGCCGCGUCCCUCGCCCAGCGCCAGCCUCGCCGCCCACCUCUGUCCCCGCUUCGCCGCACCACCGCGUCGUUGCUCGCCGUCCGCCCGNNNNNNNNNNNNNNNNNNNNNNNNNNNNNNNNNNNNNNNNNNNNNNNNNNNNNNNNNNNNNNNNNNNNNNNNNNNNNNNNNNNNNNNNNNNNNNNNNNNNNNNNNNNNNNNNNNNNNNNNNNNNNNNNNNNNNNNNNNNNNNNNNNNNNNNNNNNNNNNNNNNNNNNNNNNNNNNNNNNNNNNNNNNNNNNNNNNNNNNNNNNNNNNNNNNNNNNNNNNNNNNNNNNNNNNNNNNNNNNNNNNNNNNNNNNNNNNNNNNNNNNNNNNNNNNNNNNNNNNNNNNNNNNNNNNNNNNNNNNNNNNNNNNNNNNNNNNNNNNNNNNNNNNNNNNNNNNNNNNNNNNNNNNNNNNNNNNNNNNNNNNNNNNNNNNNNNNNNNNNNNNNNNNNNNNNNNNNNNNNNNNNNNNNNNNNNNNNNNNNNNNNNNNNNNNNNNNNNNNNNNCGCGCCCAGCGCCACUCCGCCGCGCCGCGCACUCCGGCGUCCGACGCCCAGUGCCCGCGCCCGCGCCCCCUGGGGCUCCGCCCCUGCCCGUUCGCCCGUAACCUCACAUCCGCCCCGCUUAGGCCCUCGGCCUAUCGCGGAUGGGGCCCACGCCCUUGUCUUAAGAAAAACGAAAAAAAGAAGUGUUAAUAAAAAUAAAAUAAAUACUAAAAUAAUUAAUUAAUUAAUUAGUGGUUCAGUUAAUUAACUUAAUUAAUUUUGCCUAAUUAACUAAUUAGCUAAUUAGUUAGUCAGAGGACUCUAUGACAGUGGGGCCCCACCCCUAGUUAGCUUAAUUUAAACCCCCUUUUAAAAUAGGUGACACUAACAGAUGGGCCCCAUUGACCCUGUUGACUAUUCAACUUUGACCCAGUCAACGCUGACUGUACUGCUGACUGGGCAUUGACCGGCCCCACACGACAGGGUUGACCAUGGUCAACUCAGCUGACUGAUGAUGUCAUGAUGACGUCAUGUUGGUGCAAUAAUCCUAUUUUAGUUUAAUAAUAAAUCUAGGAUAUUGCUUAAACUUCAUAAAUUCAUAUAAAAUAAUCUGUAACUCGGAUGAAAAAGUUUUAUACAUGAAAGUUGCUCAGAACGAUGAGACGAAUCCGAACACGCAGUCCGUUUACCUGUCAGAUGCCUCUAACUAUCUGAACAUGGAACAUUCCCCCUCCGGUCAUCUGUUUGACACAGGUCCGGAACCGGGAAUACAUUCCCGGUUGAAUUCCCCCUUCACCUAUAUCGUGUAGCCAUGCGUUAGGUCACACCCGACACAGCAUAUUGCCACGUUAUGCUUUGUGAUGCUAUGUUUGCUUUAUAUUUACUGUUUCUUCCCCCUCUUCUCUCCGGUAGACCCCGAGACCGAUGCUGCCCCUGUGAUCGAAUACGUCGACGACGACCCCUCCUUGCCAGAGCAACCAGGCAAGCCCCCCCUUUGAUCAUCCCAAUAUCGCCCAUUCCAUUCUCUCAUGCUUGCAUUAGAUUUUGCUACUGUUAUUGUUUGCUCCUAUUCUGAUGCAUAGCCUGCUUUUGUAACCUGCUUAUUGUUACCUACCUGCUUAUCCUAAACUGCUUAGUAUAGGUUGGUUAGUGAUCCAUCAGUGACUCCCACCUUGUCCUUGUUGCCCCUGCUUCAUCAUCGAAGACCCGAUCAAUGGGAUCAAAGACCAGGCCCCGGCACCGCACAUCACUUUCCCCUUAGUUGCUCGACACUACUGGGUUACUAUCGAGUGCCGAGGGUGAGACCUCUACAGCACUUCUGAUGUUAACCCUGUAGUGUAGCUAUUCGGUCGUGGUCAUCGAGGGUGAUUCCGCCUUAACCACUUCCGAUACGACUCUGUCGUGCAACCCCUCAAGUGUGAACCUCGGGGGUGAUUCCUCUUGCGUUCACCUUGAUGAUUACAUCGAGUGGAAUUCACCGGGGGUCGGCCCUGAGGGGUACCCGCGCGAGCUUAAUUGCGAGUGAUGUGGAGACGGGUUGACCUGGAGGGUGCCCGCGAGAUAAUUACGAGGCGUGGCCGGGCAUUCCUAGCCCUUGCCGCAAGUCCUCAAGACGGGGCAACGGGGUCACAUAUUUCGUGAGUCUUUGCUUGUUACCGUGCGUUCCUAAUCCACUACGAUUUGGAUAUUUGAUCCGAGGGGCCUCUGGCCUGAUAGCACUAACCAUCACGUGGGCAUAGUAUGGGCGUUCUGCGUCGUAUACAUCAGUCAAAGCUUAAUAGACGUCAGCGACUGAGCGGCGCGCGCCGGGUUGGACUGCGUAAGCACCUGCCUUAUUGAAGGAGGUAGCUAGGUCUGCUCACCGGCCGUGUUUGCAACGUGCAGGAGUUCCCGGGGAGAUGGCCCAUGACCCCUGGGGGCAUAGGUUUAGUCCGGCGUGCUGACCUCUCUAUUAAGCCUAGGUCGGGUUGCGGCGUAUUGUUUGGCCGAGGCCGGGCAUGACCCAGGAAAGUGUGUCCGGCCGGAGUUAAUCGAGCGUGGUGGGUAAGUUGGUGCACCCCUGCAGGGAAGAAAAGAUCUAUCAAUAGCCUGUCCUAUGGUAACGGACACUUGGAGUUGUAUCCCGAUCGAUACAACUAGAACUGGAUACUUGAGAUGAGACAUGGAUAUGAGAAAUGGAUAGUAUGGCUCUGGGAUUGCUUUCUUGCAGGGAGUCGAGAAAGGAUCUCUGGCUGAGGUUGAUAACACUUCUACUACUUUACUCUAUGCUACUCUACUCCCUCCUGUUGCUACAAGAUGGUGGUUUCCAGAAGAUGCUAGUCUUCGAUAGGCUAGGCUUUCCCCUUCUCUUCUGGCAUUCUGCAGUCCAGUCCACAGAUACAACCCUUUUCAUUGAUACCGAUGCAUAUGUAGUGUAGAUCCUUGCUUGCGAGUACUUUGGAUGAGUACUCACGGUUGAUUUGCUCCCCCUUUUCCCCCUUUUCCAUUCUUCUCGGAUGUCGCAAGCAGAUGGUGGAGCCCAGGAUCCAGACGCCACCUUCGACAAUGACUGCUACUACACUGAGGGUGCCUACUACUACGUGGAGGCCGCCAACGACCAGGAGUAGUUAGGAGGCUCUCAGGCAGGAGGCCUUGCCUUUUCGAUCGUAAAUGCUUUUGUGUUGUCCUUCUUAAGGCAAACUUGUCUAACUUAUGUCUGUACUCAGAUAUUGUUGCUUCCGCUGACUCUUGUGUUUUCGAGCUUAUAUAUUCAAGCCCUCGAGGCCCCUGGCUUGUAAUAUAAAGCUUGUAUUAUUUUAAUUUGUGUCUAGAGUUGUGUUGUGAUAUCUUCCCGUGAGUCCUUGAUCUUGAUCUACACAUUUGCGUGUAUGAUUAGUGUACAAUUGAAUCGAGGGCGUCACAAGUUAGUAUCAAAGCCGACUGCCUGUAGGUAGCCCCCUUUCCAACUCCUUGGCCAAAGUUGAGUCUAGUCAUCCAAAACUGUUUUACUAACUUGGCUGUGUGGCUUACGGGCGCACGUCGCCAUUGGGUGGUAUUAGGAUCUUUCAUUCCUCGUCUAUACUCUUGGACUCUGAUCUCUCGUCUAUUCGGGUUAAACAUUUUACUAACUCUGACAUUAGGCUCUCGUACCCACUUCCUCCCGGAGAGCCCCGACAUUAUCGAUGAUCGGUUGCUUCGCCAGAAGAUUCUGCGGAUACUCCUCGAUGUUUCCUGAGACCCUGUGCCCACUGCUUUGCAGUUCCUGACCACCGAUAAGUCCCCAUGGAUAACAUCCUUGCCGUUUGUACCUUCAUCCCCGGUUGCUCUUGUUGUUACAAGUUACCCCUAACACUCUCCGUUGUUCCGAGAAUCCUUUGUGCCUUAUGCUUGUCAGCUUCUUUUCGCACUAUGGAUAAUUUACUUACCCGGGGUCCGUUCCUCCCCAGUUGUUCACGUGCUUUCCAAAAUACUUUGAAAUGCUAUCUGAUCUCCCAAAAAUCCUCCACAGCCUUUUACUUUUGAUUCACCUUGCCUGCUUGUAUUAUGGUUAAUUCCAUAUGUCUAGCAAUAUUUAUUAAGAACCUUUGUGUUUGUCAUUCUGUUCCUAUGAAUUCUACGUAUAUGCGACUACUCGCAAUCAUCAAUUGAUCCAUAGGAAUUUUCUUUCCGGCUCAGACAUCAUUCCGGAUAUGAGCUGGUUCUUGCCCAAUCAAGAUUCGAUCGGUGUGCCUCUAAGUCUGUUCAACCUAUCCAUCUUCGAUCGGAGCAUCUGAUUCUAAUACACCGAUCUAGAAAUCAAAUCAUCUUGUAUUUAAGCAUUGAAUUAUUCAGAUGUUACCAUAAACCGGUGCCCUUGCAUUUCUUAUUCUUCUGGUUGAAUACUGAUACUCACAUCAACUCCGUCGUGAAUCGCCAGGUCCUUUGUUGGAUUUUAUCUGACAGUGUCCUUCAUAUUCUAUCACCUUGUGAAUAAUGCCUUUGGUAAAUUUGUAUCCUCUGCUUUUGUCAACCAUGCUUUACCUUCGAACUUGCGUUAAUUAUUCUUGAAAUUCAUGGUAUAUGUUCCUAAGAUGCCCCUAAGGGUUAAACCUAUGCCUUCCCUAGUCCGUGUGAACCCAAGAGUUUUCACGAGUCAUACUCUUCUGGUAUUUUGCCAGAUAUAUUUUCAAAACCACAACUUCAUCGAAAGUGAGAAGUGAAUGAGAGGUUAUGCAUUGAAGAAGUGGGAGUCGAUCUUGAACUUUGUGUUCAUGCCACUGGAACCGAUGUAGAACUUAUCGUGGAAGCUGCUCGUAAAAAUGAUUACCCCUUGUUAUAAGUUCAUCUUGUAUCGGUGGUUUGAUCAUUCAUAACCGUGGUUCCGACCAUAGUUUCUCCUUAAUUCCAUUUCCCGGACAAGUUAAAAUACUUGUCUCCUGCAAGUCAUUUCACCUGUCCAACCUCUAAUUUGACCUACCUUCAAGUAUUGCCUCAUGUUAUCUCGAGGAUAUUGUGUCACUGCACUACCUCUUGUAAAUUCUUAAUUGAAGUGAUACUCCGUCACAUCAUUCCUAGCCUGUUUGGCUACAUCAUUAUCGUCCUAAAUUUUAACUGUGCUACCUGGUCCUUUCCGGAGCACAAUUCUUCAAUGAUGAGCUAAGCUUACGUCGCUCUUCCCCGUCUUAUCAUUUUGCCUUGAACAACAAGCUUGGUUUCGAGUUUGUGUCGUACCCGUGGUUCCAAUAACCUUUCGCUCAUCAUUCCUUUGACUUGAUGUCAUCGUCGAACGAUUACCUCUUCAUGAAAUCUCUCGACAAAGGUGUCGUGAUCAUCAUCAACAUUCUGAGCUCUUCCAGGAUAUCAAUUGAAUUCGUGAUGAGAAAUACCCUCCUUGCCCCUCGAUGAUUUGUGUUAUCAUCGACAACAUUCUUGCUUUCCCCCCUAGACAAACUUGUUCAUAUAAUUUUGGAAAUACAUCCUUUCGACAUGCCGAGGGAUUGCAGCUGAACCCAUCGGCCACAUCCUCAUCCUUUUCCUGAUAAAAUUGCAUGAGAUGUUCUAAAAAUUCCCAAUGGAUCCUUUGUGUAUCCGAAGUCUGACCUUUCCCUGAUGACCAUGUCAACACUAUCCCGAAGCAUGUGUGUGGUACUCCGAUCAUCAACGAGAACAUUGGGAGCGCAAUGCUAACUGUUCUUGAUCAAUUAUCCAAACACCGUUGUAUGGGUAAACCUCAUAAAUUCCUUGCCCCUUUGUCUAAAUGGUUUAAUACUUGGAGCCCUAUCAUGCUCUGCCUUUCCUUGGGAAAGUUAUACCCUAAUACUUGGGUAUAAACACAUUUUCCUUUCCAUUGGUCUGAUUAAUCCGAUAAUUUCAUUUUCCUUUCCGUUGGCUUGUUUAAUCUUCUUGUGAUCUAUAUGAUAUAAGCAGAAUAAUUCCCUGCUUAUAAAACACCCCGAUGUACAACCUUGUCAGUGAGACCCUGUUACUAUUGUUGAUGACAUUCCGGUAACCACCGAUGGACGCGAACCUUGCCGAUUGGUCCGCCUCGUUCAACGAGCAGGAAUAUGGUUCUCUUCGUCCCUCGCCCUUGGUACCAAACCUUGUUGCCAACAUAACUGACAGGCUAUCCUCUAACCUAUCUUGCUAUCAUGAUCAUGCAAGAUGACAGCGCCCUCCCUACUUUUAACCCACAUGGUGGGCCCAUAACCCACAGUUCCACAGGAUCGAAACCUGACUCUCCUGUACGUCCCUGUUUUCCAAAACUGUCCCUCGCGCUUGGCUUACCCACGUAGUGAUCUAUUCUGGUAUCAUACGCAAUACUUAUUCCCAUUGCUCUGAACCCCUUUCACCCUCUGUUUCAGGCAACGAACGAUUGCCUACCCGGUUGAAGCUUCUUAUUGCUCCUUCUUACCUUGCUCUCGAUGACUUUCUUGAAUUUCAACUCGAGAGAUGCCUCUAUGCCACGUUCACCGAGAUAGCCCCCAGGUACCUAUCUUGUUUUGAACUCCAUCCAUCCCGAGUCUUCCCCAUUACUCCACCUCUUAAAUCUCGAGACGAGAUUUCUUGUAGUGGAGGAGAUUUGUAACACCCCGAAAAUCAUGCUACAGUAAUCCCCUUUAAAUGAUGCCUUGUCAUCAUUGUUACUGUUGCUAAUCUCACUUUGAUUCUAUUCUAGUCCAAAUCUCAAUUUCAAAUUAAAGUCAAAAUUCUAAAUUGCUCAAACAUGAAAACUAAAAUGCUCAUCAUGUGGCAAAUAUCCUUUUGGCAAUAUUGGUGGUGAACCAACAUUUUUGCAAAGUGUUUAAAUGCCCUAAACUAAUUAAAACAAUGGUUAAAACGUUGCUUAAAUGCCUUUUUGUUUUAUAAAAAUGCUAAGCUAAUUUAUUUAACUACCAAACUAAUUGUGGCAGUAGUCUAAAUUAUAAUAAUAAUUUAGGUUAAAGCUUUGUGUUUUAUAAAAUUGUUUUGCCUUUUGAAAUUAAAAGAAAACAAAGAAAUUUCAAAAAAAGCCCCCCCACUGGGCCAACCGGCCCAGCUGGCCACCAGGCCGACUAGGCCGGCCCACCCCACUCCCCUAUACACCCCCUCUGCCCAAACCCUAACCGAAACCCAGCACCCCCAUUCCCCCCCACUCGUUCGCCUGUCCCCUCCCCCUCCUCUCGUUCCCGAUCUGGAUCGGGAAGGGGAGCGAUCCCGACCCCCUUCGCCGUCACCAUCUCCACUUGCCGUCGUCGACCACCGCCGCCGCACGAGGACCCGAAGCCGCCUAACGCUGCCCCGCCGUCGCCGCGUCCCCAUCCUCAUCCCCACCGGACUGCGCCCGCCUUCCCGCCGCCGCGACGCCACCCCGUCGUCCUCGUCUCCUCCUCGCCGGACGCAACCUCGACUCCUCCCCAAGUCCGCUGCCAUUCCCCUAUGGCCCCGCCGUGAGCACCUCCCUCCUCCUCCCUCGCCUCCUCUGUGCGCGCGCCCACCGUCACCGUGCGCCCCGGCUGCCCCGCCUGCAGUUGCCGCGGACCGCGCACGCCCACAACCGUGUCGGCCGCGCCGUCGCCCUCGUCGGCUACCUCUGCACCGCCUCCACUCGCCGGCGGCUGCAGCGCGUCCCUCCUCUGCAACCCCAUCGCCGCUUCCCACCGCGACAUCCUGCCCCUCGCCGUGCUCCCCCGCACCUCGUAUUGCGACCAGCGCCGUCCGCGAGCGAUCCCCGCCGAGCCCGCUCGCUGGCCGCGUCCUCCCCCAGCGCCAGCCUCGCCGCCCACCUCUGUCCCCGCUUCGCCGCACCACCGNNNNNNNNNNNNNNNNNNNNNNNNNNNNNNNNNNNNNNNNNNNNNNNNNNNNNNNNNNNNNNNNNNNNNNNNNNNNNNNNNNNNNNNNNNNNNNNNNNNNNNNNNNNNNNNNNNNNNNNNNNNNNNNNNNNNNNNNNNNNNNNNNNNNNNNNNNNNNNNNNNNNNNNNNNNNNNNNNNNNNNNNNNNNNNNNNNNNNNNNNNNNNNNNNNNNNNNNNNNNNNNNNNNNNNNNNNNNNNNNNNNNNNNNNGUCCGCGCCCAACGCCACUCCGCCGCGCCGCGCACUCCGGCGUCCGACGCCCGGUGCCCGCGCCCGCGCCCCCUCGGGCUCCGCCCCUGCCCGUUCGCCCGUAACCGCACAUCCGCCCCGCUAAGGCCCUGGGCCUAUGGCGAUGGGGCCCACGCCCCUGUCUUAAGAAAAACGAAAAAAGAAAUGUUAAUAAAAAUAAAAUAAAUACUAAAAUAAUUAAUUAAUUAAUUAGUGGUUCAGUUAAUUAACUUAAUUAAUUUUGCCUAAUUAACUAAUUAGCUAAUUAGUUAGUCAGAGGACUCUAUGACAGUGGGGCCCCACCCCUAGUUAGCUUAAUUUAAACCCCCCUUUUAAAUAUGUGACACUCACAGAUGGGCCCCAUUGACCCUGUUGACUGGUCAACUUUGACCCGGUCAACGCUGACUGUACUGCUGACUGGGCAUUGACCGGCCCCACAAAUCAGGGUUGACCAUGGUCAACUCAGCUGACUGAUGACGUCAUGAUGACGUCAUGCUGGUGCAAUAAUCCUAUUUUAGUUUAAUAAUAAAUCUAGGAUAUUGCUUAAACUUCAUAAAUUCAUAUAAAAUAAUCUGUAACUCGGAUGAAAAAGUUUUAUACAUGAAAGUUGCUCAGAACGACGAGACGAAUCCGAAUACACAGUCCGUUUACCUGUCAGAUGCCUCUAACAAUCUGAACAUGGAACAUUCCCCCUCCGGUCAUUUGUUUGACACAGGUCCGGAACCGGGAAUACAUUCCCGGUUGAAUUCCCCCUUCACCUAUAUCGUGUAGCCAUGCGUUAGGUCACACCCGGCACAGCAUAUUGCCACGUUAUGCUUUGUGAUGCUAUGUUUGCUUUAUAUUUACUGUUUCUUCUCCCUCUUCCCUCCGGUAGACCCCGAGACCGAUGCUGCCCCUGUGAUCGACUACGUCGACGAUGACCCCUCCUUGCCAGAGCAACCAGGCAAGCCCCCCCUUUGAUCAUCCCGAUAUCACCCAUUCCAUUCUCUCAUGCUUGCAUUAGAUUUUGCUACUGUUAUUGUUUGCUCCUAUUCUGAUGCAUAGCCUGCUUUUGUAACCUGCUUAUUGUUACCUACCUGCUUAUCCUAAACUGCUUAGUAUAGGUUGGUUAGUGAUCCAUCAGUGACCCCCACCUUGUUCUUGUUGCCCCUGCUUCAUCAUCGAAGACCCGAUCAAUGGGAUCAAAGACCAGGCCCCGGCACCGCACAUCACUUUCCCCUUAGUUGCUCGACACUACUGGGUUACUAUCGAGUGCCGAGGGUGAGACCUCUACAGCACUUCUGAUGUUAACCCUGUAGUGUAGCUAUUCGGUCGUGGUCAUCGAGGGUGAUUCCGCCUUAACCACUUCUGAUACGACUCUGUCGUGCAACCCCUCAAGUGUGAACCUCGGGGGUGAUUCCUCUUACGUUCACCUUGAUGAUUACAUCGAGUGGAAUUCACCGGGGGUGAUUCCUCGGGUUUUCCCCUUGAUGUUUGGACACACAGUUACUAUGGUUACUAUGACUUUACACUGAACCAUGUUACUAAAGACGGGUCGGCCCUGAGGGGUACCCGCGCGAGCUUAAUUGCGAGUGAUGUGGAGACGGGUUGACCUGGAGGGUGCCCGCGAGAUAAUUACGAGCGUGGCCGGGCAUUCCUAGCCCUUGCCGCAAGUCCUCGAGACGGGGCAACGGGGUCACAUCUUUCAUGAGUCUCUGCUUGUUACCGUGCGUUCCUAAUCCACUACGAUUUGGAUAUUUGAUCCGAGGGGCCUCUGGCCUGAUAGCACUAACCAUCACGUGGGCAUAGUAUGGGCGUUCUGCGUCGUAUACAUCAGCCGAAGCUUAAUAGACGUCAGCGACUGAACGGCGCGCGCCGGGUUGGACUGCAUAAGAACCUGCCUUGUUGAAGGAGGUAGCUAGGUCUGCUCACCGGUCGCGUUCGCAACGUGCAGGAGUUUCCGGGGAGAUGGCCCAUGACCCCUGGGGGCAUAGGUUUAGUCUGGCGUGCUGACCUCUCUAUUAAGCCUAGGUCGGGUUGCGGCGUAUUGUUUGGCCGAGGCCGGGCAUGACUCAGGAAAGUGUGUCCGGCCGGAGUUAAUCGAGCGUGGUGGGUAAGUUGGUGCACCCCUGCAGGGAAGAAAACAUCUAUCGAUAGCUUGUCCUACGGUAACGGACACUUGGAGUUGUAUCCCGAUCGAUACAACUAGAACUGGAUACUUGAGAUGAGACAUGGAUAUGAGAAAUGGAUAGUAUGGCUCUGGGAUUGCUUUCUUGCAGGGAGUCGAGAAAGGAUCUCUGGCCGAGGUUGAUAACACUUCUACUACUUUACUUUAUGCUACUCUACUCCCUCCUGUUGCUGCAAGAUGGUGGUUUCCAGAAGAUGCUAGUCUUCGAUAGGCUAGGCUUUCCCCUUCUCUUCUGGCAUUCUGCAGUCCAGUCCACAGAUACAACCCUUUUCAUUGAUACCGAUGCAUAUGUAGUGUAGAUCCUUGCUUGCGAGUACUUUGGAUGAGUACUCACGGUUGCUUUGCUCCCCCCUUUUCCCCCUUUUCCAUUCUUCUCGGAUGUCGCAACCAGAUGGUGGAGCCCAGGAUCCAGACGCCACCUUCGACGACGACUGCUACUACACUGAGGGUGCCUACUACUACGUGGAGGCCGCCGACGACCAGGAGUAGUUAGGAGGCUCCCAGGCAGGAGGCCUUGCCUUUUUUAUCGUAAAUGCUUUUGUGCUGGCCUUCUUAAGGCAAACUUGUCUAACUUAUGUCUGUACUCAGAUAUUGUUGCUUCCGCUGACUCUUGUGUUUUCGAGCUUAUAUAUUCGAGCCCUCGAGGCCCCUGGCUUGUAAUAUAAAGCGUGUAUUAUUUUAAUUUGUGUCUAGAGUUGUGUUGUGAUAUCUUCCCGUGAGUCCUUGAUCUUGAUCGUACACAUUUGCGUGUAUGAUUAGUGUACGAUUGAAUCGAGGGCGUCACAGCCCGAACCUGGGUAAUUGAUGUGUCCAUCUUCUUCCUUCUUCACCGAGUUAGGCCGUGCGGACGACGAGAUGGCUGGCUAAAGAGGUCAAGUUCUUCGCACACGCCCCAGAGUUCGAACCUUUCUUGGAUCUGCGGAGCCCUGAAUAUCUUAACGCUCUUAUUGCACUUGAACAAUGAGAUUUUGACAAGAAGUCUGGGAAACAUGCAUUUAAUUCUAAUAUAAUCCCUAGAAAAAAAUGGUAUAAAAAACCGCUUUCAUGCACCUAGUGAAUAAAUUGCUUUUCCUAGUAUAUGAGAGAGGGGAAUUUUUUCGAUUAAACUUCACAUUCAUGCUUAUAAAUUUGUGGUGAAUUUAAACUUUCAUUCAAAUCACUAGUCAAUUUGCUAUAAAAUUUGACAUGACCUUUGCUCUUAUUUAGAGUUUUGGUUCAUUCUCAAAUCAUAAAUAGUAUGAAGGACUUAGAAGUUAAUAGUACAAUUCAAUAUGAAUUGGAAAUUCAUUUAUAAAUAAUAAACAACUGAAUAAGGGAAAAUCAAACUUUAUUGAUAAUUGGGAAAUAAUACAAAGUUAUGUUACAAAAAAAUAAAGGAAACUUUAUUAAAAAAUACCAUUACAAAUUCUUACAAAAAGAAUGAACAGUAAAUCUAUCUAUUUUCUAUCCUAUUAUAAAUCUUCAAGAUCUUCUUGAUCUUCUUCAUUUCCAAAAUCUGCAAAAGAAGUACCAAAGGAAAAAAAGAAAUUAUUAUUGUUAAAAGCGCCCCCUCCUUCAUGGAGGGAUAGUAAGAUUGAGCCCACCUCCAUCCUCUUCUCAAUUUCCCAAGUCGUCCUUCGUCUCGGUUCUAGUAUCGCGUUAGAUCUCUGAACUGAAGCCAGAUUGAGCUCGCCGUUUCCGGUGGGUCGUCGGCGUCGGAGUGGACGUUGGAGGGGCCAGUGUUUUGUGUGGCCGGGAGGGAGGGAGUGGGUUGGGUUCGUUAGUGGGUGACGUCGGCCCCGCAUCCCUCGCCUCGCGACUCGUCGUUGCUGCCUUUCUUAUGUGUCUGUCAGUAGGAGUGGUUGCCUCAGCCAACCACCGCUGUCCGUCACGCUAGGCCUUCUGGUGCGGAAAGAUAUUUGUGAUUCGUAAAUAAUAAAUAAAAAUAGGUAGUUAGACCGUUUAUUGAAAUGACACCAGCUGAAGGUCAACGUUUUCUGAGACCUUUUCAUAUUUCCAGUACAAUUUAUCCAAAACUUAGUUACCACAGAAUUCAGAGGAGCAUGCCUGGAAGUGUCGUAUUCCAUUUUUCUCUUGUUCGGAGCAUACAAUGUACACUGAUUUAUCUACUACUACCUCCGUUCCUAAAUAUAAGUCUUUUUAGAUAUUUCACUACGGACUAUAUAUGAAGUAAAAUGAGUAAAUCUACGCUCUAAAAUAUGUCUAUAUACAUCCGUAUAUAGUUCAUAAUAGAAUCUCUAAAAAGACUUACAUUUAGAAACGGAGGAAGUAUAUGGAACUUGCAGAAAUACGAGUGUAGCGACACCAGCUUGCUGACAUGCAUUCUCUCUCUCUCUUUGUGUUUUGACAGCUUGGCCGCCCUUUGUUGCUGCUGUCUGCUGGAAGCUUGCUUCUAAGUUCUAUAUUGAAAAUUGUGAUUGGUUGCUAAUUAGUACUCCCUCUGUCCUGUAAUGUAGGACGUUUUUGCAAGCUAACAAAAACGUCUUACAUUAUGGAACGGAGGGAGUAGGAGAUUACAAGAACUCCUUGACGUCAUGUUUGUAUGUUCAGAUGGUUGCUGCACCUUUUCACAAAAGAAGAGAUGAUUGAUGUACCCAGUGAACAAGAAAAAUCGAGCAUGAAAGCUCUAGCAAAGCCAGAAUACCCUGAAGAAAAGGCUAAUCCACGGCAUGCUGUCUGAAGAUAAAACUAAUUCACAGUAGAAUAUACUACUCCCUCCGUAAACUAAUAUAAGAACGUUUAGAUCACUACUUUAGUUAUCUAAACGCUCUUAUAUUAGUUUACAGAGGGAGUACCUUUUAUGUCAGACACACACCAAUAAUAACUUGGAAAUUCAGCAGGGUUUCAACAACAUAACAAACUUGGAAAUUCAGCAGGGUUUCAACAAAAUAACAGACCACGACAGUACCAAGGGAGUGCCACUAGUGAGCAUCCGACAGAUUACUGCUGCACACCAUUACAGCAGCAUACACACACAUACACAUAACAGAACGGAGGAGAGGCGAAAGCAUCAACUGAAGGCCGUCACUCAGUGGCAACCAGCGGCAUGUUUCUGCGGCCUGAUCCAGUCGUGCAGCACCAUGGUCACCCUGUCGUGCUGCUUCACGGAGGAUCCGUGCAGGAGCGGGGCGGCGCGGGCGAGGACGCGGUUGUAGUGGACGUACUCCUUCUGCCGGAACCUCUCCUGCUCGGGCGGCGUCAUCUCGUCCCACUGAGCGUGCAGCUUCUCUGACAGGCUCCGGUCGAUGUUGUACCUGGUGGCGCCGAAGCACGUCUGGCUCAGGACCCGCCUUGCCAGGGUCUGCAGGUCGGGCACGCGAGCCCCGUGGGUCGACCACCAUUCAACUGCGAAUGUCGAGUGAAGCGCGGUAAGAAGGUGCGUAAUUCAUGUAGUAUGAUAUGAACGGAUGAAUGAAAUGGUGAUCAUCUCAGUGGGUGUAAAUGUUUGGGUUUGAAAGUUGAAGUGAAAAUGGAAGAAGAGAAGGCUCCUGUACAGUUUAAGCAGACCAUAUAGCCCAGUUUGCAACUUGCAACUAACUAAGCAGCUAUGUUGACAAGCUUAGGCUGAUGCAGAGAACUUGAUUAUUCUACACGUUCAUCUGUAAACCUUUUAACUUCUCUACUACUCCCUCUGUCCCAUAAUGCAAAAACGUCUUACAUUAUGGAACGGCGGGAGCAUUUAUUUAAACAACCAUGUCGACAAGUUAGGCUAAUGCAGAGGAGUUGAACUUUGAAUAGAAGUGCACUUAUGACAUGAUAUAUUUGUGCCAUGUUCACAUGCUAACUAAAUAUGUUGGCGCACUGUAUGUUACGGUGCACAAAUGCACAUAUCAGAUUUUGUGGAGGACCUCAGACACUAUUCCAGCUCACUCUAAAGAUUGGAAAAAAUCAAGUACAUAUGACACAUAAAGGCACUACCGUCAGUGGCUUGUUAGGGAGUGGUCAUUUUGCAAUAGGUUAGGGUGUAGCUUACCUUGUGGUAAUUCCAUGAUUUGCUGCAUUGCUGGAUCUGUGUCGAAAUAGCCCAACUUCUUUUCAUACACUUCCAAUUGUGCAGACGCUUUUCUGGCAUUGUAAUGAGCCUUGCCCAGUUGGAUUGUGCAUGCCGCGAUGCCGCCGCUGAUCUCAGCAUCAGGCUGGAAUCCAGCUGUGUAAAAGAACCUUGGGUUUAGCAUCUGACCAGCAGCAUGGAGGGGACUAUGCAAGUAACCAUCCCAUAUCCUGUCAAUCAUACACCAAUAGAAGUCACUUUCAUAUCCGACACUGAGAGAUAUCUCUUCUUUUGCUCUGUCCAUGGCUUCAUACAAGAUACCCAUCGGACAGAUAUCAGAUUCCAGUUUAUACAACACAAUGACAAGUGGUUUUGUAACCUUCACGACUUCAGCAGCAGCAUGCCAAAAUUCAUCGUCUGUCUUUACUAUGCUCUGGAUAUGCUCAAACAAAUCAAGACAAGCCCAACCAGAGGGAACCCAUUUAGGCGAGCUGAACAUCUGCACCAGACCUACUCUUGCAGAAACUAACCUCUCUAAUGUGAUGAACACUGCCACAAAUCUCAGAUAAGAACUGCUCAAAAUCUCCACCUGAACAUAUCUUCCUUUCAGUUUCAUUGGCAGUGCAUGGCCAUAUAAAAACCUUGUAAUUUCCCUUGCCUUCAUUAGGACUUCACUGACAUGCUCGAGCGCUGCUAUUUUCUCAAGCAGAAGGUUGAUGCAAUGGUCAGCACAUAGCACGAAGAAAAAACUGUCAUAUUUAUUUAGCACAUACUGCCGUGCCAUCUGCAUAUGGGGUGACACGUCAUUCAUGACAAUCUGAACAAUGUUAUGGGCACCGACAUCAUCAACCACGCGAGAAAGCAUUGAUUCUAGCUCAUCCAAGUCCUCAGUGAUUUCAGAGACGUCAAUGGAUGUGAGGAACUGCGUACCUUUGCUGCAGUGCACCAGGACACUUACGAAGCUUUUGUCACACUUGCUCUUCCAACUAUCAACAAUUACAGUGCAGCCACUUGUUUGCCACUCUUGCUUGAGUUCCUUUGCGCGGUUCUCAGUUUCUCUUAGUUGCUCCUGCAGAACAGCUUCGUACGUAGGCUCAGGUGCAGGUUUGGAGAAGAACUUGCCUAUUGAUUUUGCUGACGGAGAAUCGAAGUAAUCACUUGCCUCAACCUUGGGUUUCAGUUGACAAGAAUUAUAUGUGAUUUCCUUGGGCUGCCUCAAAUACGGUAGAAAAUGAAGAAAGCAGCGGUUAUUGGAUACAGUUGGUUGUAGCUGUGGUUGCUGGACUUGAGCAGAUGGAAGGGCUGGGCUUGUGUGAGGAACCUCAUCAUGUUCAUGCUUCCGUUUCUUCAUUUUUCUGAGCAUCCAAGCUUUCUCUUCUUGCGAUCCACAAGUGAACUCCUUAAGCUUGUGCUGGCAUUGCCCCUGAUGUCUGCUAAAUGGUGCUCUAGGCGGUUGUAACUCAAAACCACCUUAACGCAGUAAUUGCAGCUCACUCUGCAACCUUCCUCAUCAAUGGUUUUGCCAUGCCUUUCUUUUCCACGGCUACUUGUCUGAGGAUAUUGUACAGAAAAAACCUGAAGGAAAGCAAUGAGAGAUACUUCAGUAAUGCAAAAAUUAAAAUGUCAAAUUCCCAAAACAUGAGUGCAACAUUUCACCAAUGAUUAGAUUUCAUCUGCUUCCUCUUAAUGACAGCACAUGAUGUAUGCUAGUGAUGAAUUUACCACAUGUCAACAGAGAAGACUGUGAUCCAACUAAACACUGUACCUUAGAAGUUUAUAAACACAGUAUUACUGGAUGAAACAGUUUGUUCUGUAUUUUUUUUCCCAAUAAAGAACAGUUUGUCUGUAUAACUCUUCAAGAAGAACACAUAAAGACUGCACGAUGAUCUUACAAAGCCAGUAACAUACCCCCUCUGACACCCUCCUCUCCCCCGCCGCUUGAUCUCCCUCCUCCGGCCAACUCCUCCACAACAAAGAGCAGAUCCGGAACCCUCUCGCCACCCAUACCGAAGUCCAGCGGCGCCGUCACCAGGGUCGGAGCCGCCGUCGACCUCCACGCCUGACUUCAUCCCAGCUCGCUCGCUCCCGUACGGCCCCCUCGGCCGCACCGGGGCGCCCCAGCCGGCCGCCCUCGGCCUACCCUGCCUCGCCCCUCCCCCUCGCCGCCGCUGGAGGGUGCCGUCUGGGCAAAGUCUGGGCGGCACGGGCGGCAGCGGGGCCUCAACUGUCUUUGGCGGCGCUGGUUCUCGGGGCUCCGACGGGGGCCUCGUGAUCCCGUGCGGUGCCAGGCGUGCUGCCCGACGGGGGUCUGUGCAGCGCUCGGGCGACGGCUCCGGCCGCGAGGGGCGCGGUGGUGCGCGGAUCGGGGUGUGUGCACCGCUCAGCGGCUGUGCUGAUUGCGCCCGGUUUCCUUUAGUACUGUAUAUCUGUUUUUCGCUCGGUGUUUCCUAAUUAAUCAAGAAACUUAUCUUUUUAAUGAAUGCAGAAAUCCCGUCAUUCGGAAAAACAAUACCCCUCUGAAACAAAUGGCGUGCAGUGACUUUUUUCCUGAUACUAAAAUUAAAAAAAGUUCAUAGUUUUAGCAAUUCCUUCAAAUCGGCUCAAACCCCUUUCAAAACCUAACAUUACGCUGCCCAAUUCACAAAAAACAGACAAAACCUAAAAUGAAGAAAGGGGAAUUCUUCGGGCAUGCUCCAAUGCACACCCUCUGUGUAGAAGAAAGCCGCAAAUGACUUUGACUGUUUGCCAUUUCUGGACAUUGACGAGACGACGGGUUUUAGUUGAGGAAAGGACAUUCACUGAUGGGUGGGUGAACAAAUUUUGUUGGAGAACAACAUUUCAUUCUUUUUACCAUGAUAUGCUUUUAAUAGUUAGAUCAGCAAUUAUUUCUGAAAUCGCGGUCACCAGAAAAGGCAACAGAAACUUCGGUGGAUUAUUGGGGCAAACCUCGAUGAACCAAGCAUGGUUCGAAAGAGAAUCCUACGGGGGUGGAUGUGUACUAGAGAGACAUUGGAAAACAAACAAAGAUAGGCUGGAAAAAAAUGUAAAACCCAAGUGAGAUGGGUGUUGUGUUGGAUACAUAUUCACUUGAUUGGUUACUUCGGAGAAUUUCAUCGGCAUAAACAAAAUUCCAAAGAACACCUUGGGAUAAUCCUAGUUCUUAAUGUUGCAUUUGAACAAUGAGAUUUCAAAAAAAGCCCGAGAAAUAUGCAUUUAGUUCUAAUAUACUCCCUAGAAAAAUAGAAAUGGUAUCAACAAAAACCUUUUAUGCUCCUAGUGAAUAAAUUGCUUUUACUUACCUUUGACUUUAGAUCUCGUCUUCUCCGUUCCAAGUGGGGCAAUGGUUGUGGUGCGCUGGAAAAGGGUGAAUGGUGCGGCGCGUCUGGGCCUUGCUAUAAUCCUAGUUGAAUAUCUGAACGCACUUACUGCACUUGAACAAUGAGAUUUCCAUGGAAGCCUGGGAAAUAUGCAUUUAGUUCUAAUAUGCUCCCUAGAAAAUACAAAAGAUGGUAUGAAUAGAAUCCUUUAUGCUCCUAGAGAAUAAAUUAUUUUUUCUUACCUUUGACUUUGGAUCUCGCCGUCUUCAUCCAAGAUGUAAAAAGAGGAUGGCCUGGGCAGCGACUGUGGUGCGUCGGGAAAGGGCGGAUGGUGCAGUGCGCCGGUGCCUUAGAAUACCACAAUCUCACCUAAGAGGAAACACAUAGAUGAUGGAUUUACGAGGGCAAACAUAUCUAGAGAGUGGAAGUGGCGGCGGUGGAUGGAGGAGAAGAUAGUUAGAUCUGGACAAUGUUCAUGGUUGCCGGUGGAGGAGAAGAUAGUUAGGUCUAAGGAGUGGUGGUGGCGGCGACGGAUGGAGGAGAAUAUGGUUAGAUCUAGACAAUAUUGAUGGUUGCAGGUGGAGGAGAAGAUAGGUGGGUCUAGAUAAUGUUGAUGGUUGUGUCGUGUGGGAGGGGAUGGCUUUAUA
rnacentral:lncRNA from 1 species